rnacentral:lncRNA from 1 species
UAAUGUUUAUGUUAAAAUAUAUAAGAUUUUAUGCAUUCAUUAAUUGUUAUUAGCUAAAGGAUGAAUUAUUUUUUCCCAAUCAGUUGAUGCAUCUGCAAGAGUUUUUUUUUUCUUUUAUUGACCAUAAUUAUAUUCCGGGUACAAUAAAUUGUCUUUGGUGCUUGGAAGAUAUGACAUCUCUCUGUCAACUUACUGGAAAUAUCUCCUCAUCUACUCUCAUUUAUCUAAUAUCAAUUGAAGAUCUCAUAUUUCCAAACUAUGACUUCCAAAUCUCAUUAUCAUUUGAGCAUUCAAAACUAAUCAAGUGUGGAAAUAAUCAAAUAUAUGCAAAAAUCGAGUCACAAUCUUUGGCCCCUCAAAAUUCUAAUUAUAUAACUUCAUAUCUCAUACAUUUUCCAAAUUCCUCUUCCAUCAACAUCACUAGGAGUAUGUUCAUCUCUCACACAUUAACUUGAGUGGAGAGUUUCCAAAUUGAUUGUCAGAAAACAAUACAAAAGCUAGACAAACUUGAUCUGUCUACUAAUUAUCUUUCGGUAAAAUUAAUUAAUUUUAGGGUAAUAUUCAGCCAACCUCUGUAAUUUUAGAGUGAUCAUUAAUUAAUUAAUUAAACGAUACAAUAUCUAAAGUGAUUAGAUGUUUGUGGACAAUACAAGUUCAUGGCUUGAAAUUUGAUCUCUAUCGAUUGGUUUACAGAUUGACGUACUUGUGCUUUUGUGGUGAUAAUUGAACCAGAGAUGUGAAGCUGUAAGGAUUUGGCAGUAGUAAAUUGUUAUAAAGGCAUAAAGACAACUAUUUUACAACAAAUUCAUCUCGCCAAAAAUUCUAUUUUGCUAACUAACAAUAAUUGAGCACUUGACCGCAUUGACUCCACGUCUCCAGCUACUUUCUAAGUAAAAACAUGGAAAUGUAAUCUCCACAAAAUGCCAAACGUGUGGAAUUUAAUUUUUGGCCUUGUGGACCAAAAUGCAAAUGAAAGAAAAAGAAGGAAAAAAACAAGGCCCAAAGACUUCUAAAAGAUGUAAAAGUCUUUGGGUUUUUUUAUAAUGGUGGAUUUUUUAAAAGAAAAAAAUAACAACAGUUCUAUGGUUUGUUUUGAUAAUCACAUUUACAUAUACUCUCUAAUUUUCAAAAUGGACACAUAAAUCUUUUUUUUUCUACAAAUGUAUAUUAUUCGUAUUGUUUAUUAUUUUUAAUAUCAUAUUGUUAUUUAUUAUAAAUGUUUAAAGUAAAUUUUUAGGUUGAAAUAUAAUAAACGGGUAUAAUCGUUCUCUUAUUAAACACCCAUACUUUUAGUUUCUAUCCAUUUGUCAUCUCAAUCUCUCUCAAUUAUUCUUUAUUGCUAGCUCAAAACGCAUUGCUGUUGCAAAUUAUAGCAAAAAGACAAAUAUGGAAAAGAAAAAAGGGUAGAAAAUUAAUGCAUGAAAGACUUGGAGAAAACAAUGAACUAAGUCAACUAUAAUCUAGCUGGGUGUAUAAAUUGUUUGAUGCUUUAUAAGCAAAUAACAUACAGAGACAGACAAUGUGUGUUCGUUUUUUCAUAGUUAAAGAUAUAGUUAGAAUGGGUGGUUCAAAAUCAAAAAUGGUGAUAAUGUUUGUUAUGUUAUUAAUAAUAUUUAAAAGUGGGUGGACUGAGGGAUGUUUGGAUCACGAGAGAUUUGCUCUUUUGCGACUCAAACAUUUCUUCAAUGAUCCUCAUAAUUCUCUUUACGACUGGGCCGAUGAUGAGGGAGCUAUUGAUUGUUGUCAGUGGGAAAGGGUUGAGUGCAGCAACACCACAGGCCGAGUGAUAGCGCUAGACCUUUUUGAAAUGUAUUCGGGAGAGUACAGCUGGUAUCUGAAUGCUUCUUUGUUUACUCCCUUCCAACAACUUGAGUCACUUGAUUUAACUUACAACAAUAUAGCCGGUUGUGUUGAGAAUGAAGGUGCUUCGUUUAAUUUAAUUAAUUUACUUUCUCCCCCCUAAUUUAAGUUGAAUAUCAAGACCGAGCAAUUAUAUGCAUAUUCAUUCAGUUGACAAUUUUGACUUAUUUUUUUUAAAUGAUUAAUUUUGAAAUUACACCAGUAUCUAUCAUCUUUUUUUUUAUUAUUAUUGCAGGUAUAGAGAGGCUAUCAAGAUUGAACAACUUGAAGAUGCUUAAUUUAAGUGAAAACUCAUUCAAUAAUACCAUUUUAUCAUCUCUAACUCAUCUUUCAUCAUUAAGAUCAUUAAAUUUAUAUGGGAAUAGUUUGGAAGGAAGUAUUGACGUUGAAGGUACAUAAUUAAAACUUCAUCCCUUCUCCAACCUCUUUCAUUAACUUGCUAAAAUAAGAUUCAAGGCUUUGAAUUCAAUUUUUUUAUGAUUAAUAUUAAAAAAACAGUUUUAAGCAAUUUAUAAAUACAAGUUUUAAUGUUUCUUGUAAUUUCAUCUUGUACUUUCAUAUGUCUUGAAUUUAAGAUUAAAAAAAAACUCUAAUAGCGAACCAAACACCUCCACAACUUCUUAUUAUUUGUGGUGAGGUUUGAAACAUUCAACUCAAUUUGUACUUAUUACAGAAUUUGAUUCUUUGAGAGAUUUAGAGGAGCUAGACAUUGGCGGGAACAAGAUUGACAAAUUUGUGGUCUCAAAAGGUACUACAAAUACCAUAAAAAAAAUAUGCUAACUUUUACAAAUUAGUUAGAUUCUUUGCCAUUUGGUUUAUUAUUUUACAGGUUUGAGUAAGUUGAAGUCUCUCGGUUUAAGUGGUAUCAAACUCAAUCGUAGCAUCUUAUCUUCUCUUUCUUCGUUAAGAGAAUUAGAUAUAAGUCGUACGGGAUUCAAAGGAACAUUUGAUGUUCGAGGUAAGCCUAAACCUUGCUUUCUCAUUUUAUAUAUGCCAACUAGAUUUGUGUAUCAUCGACAUAAUUUAAUAUUUAAUUUGAUAAGUCUGAAUGAAUUACAUGCUAAUUUAAACAUACUUUUAUUUACUCUAUCAAUCAAUUAAUUAAUUAAUUACUAUUUGGCUUGGUUUGGACGAAAUUCUCAUGAUGUUUUAAUUUCUUUAAAUUAAUUAAUUAAUUAACUCUGUUUUUAAGUCUUAAGUCUGGGCGUGUUUGCAGAAUUUGAUUCAUUCAACGACUUAGAAGUGUUGGACAUGAGCUACAAUGAAAUCGACAAUCUUGUGGUUCCUCAAGGUAAACAAUUAAAAUGUUAUUCAAUUACAUUAUUUUAAUUCAUUUGAUUAGGGAAGGCCAAAAAGGUCCAAAAAAAUAAUAAUAAUAAAGAAACAUAUAAUUUGUAUUAUUUAAAAAACAGAAUGUAAUAAAGAUUUGAUUCCAGUUCUUCAAUCUUUAAAGCGAUUGAAAAACAAUGUUGCUCUUUUCCCAAAGCAUAAAAUACGAAUUGAAUGCCAAUUAACUUAAUCAUUCAUUUCGUUUAGCUCUAAAUUUAGACAAUGAAUUUUUAUAUUAUUUCAAAAACAGGACGUAAUAGAAUUUAAAAAAAAAACAGAUUGUAAUGAAGAUUUGAUUCCAAUUUUUUAAUCUUUGCAGCGAUUGAAAAACCAUACCGCUCUUUUCCCAAAGCAUAAAAUACGAAUUGACUCCCAAUUAAAUUAAUCAUUUAUUUUGUUCAUCUCUGAAUUUAAAUAAUGAAUUUUGAUCUUCAAUCAUAUUCUAACUACUAUUAAAAAAAUAGGUUACAAAGGUUUGAGGAGGCUGAAAAGUCUUGAUCUAUCGGAAUUUGAAAUUAGAGAUGGAAGCAAGUUGUUACAGUCAAUGGGAUCAUUCCCAUCCCUCAACACACUUGUCCUGACGGAUAAUAAUUUUACCGAUAUAGCGACCGCUACUCAAGGUAAGUAAAAGGUACAGAUGUGGCCAAAUUUAUAAAUAAAUUGUUAAUUAAUUAAUUUUUCCGUAUUAUUAAUUAAGCUAAAUUUGUUGCUCCUUCCUUCUAAUUCUAAACAGAGUUGCACAAUUUCACCAACUUGGAAUAUUUGACAUUGGACGAAUCCUCUCUCCAUAUAAGCCUUCUGCAAAGCAUUGCAUCAUUAUUCCCUUCGUUAAAAACUCUGUCGAUGUUUGGUUGUGAAGUCAACGGUCUCGUACGCGGUCAAGGUAAAAGAAAAGCGUUGAUUGUGAACUCACUCAAUGGUGUCCUACGUGUUCAACAUUUUUGUUUAUUUAUUUAUUGUUUAAUGUUUCUGCUAGGUUUUCCCCAUUUCAAGAGUUUGGAACAUUUGGAUAUGGAUUACACGCGCAUUGCACUCAACACCAGCUUUCUUCAAAUCAUCGGUGAAUCGAUGCCUUCUCUUAAGUACUUAUCACUGUCAUAUUCUAAUCUUAGCACUAACAGCAGCAGGAUUCUUGAUCAAGGUUAAUGAGAUGCUGCCACCCUCCCCUCUUAAUCUGUAAUAUUAAUUUUCAAUUCAAUAUUUAAUUACACAAACCAAUCACUUCUAUAUAAAAGAAUACUAUGCUUUUGUUAAAUUUUUUUAUUGUACUGAUGGAUAAAUUAAUAAAUUUUCAGGCCUCUGUUCGUUGGUGCAUCUGCAAGUGUUGUACAUUUAUAAUAAUGAUCUGAGAGGCAGCUUGCCUUGGUGCUUGGCAAAUAUGACAUCCCUCCGAUUAUUAGAUGUUUCUUCCAAUCAACUUACUGGAAGCAUCUCCUCAUCUCCCCUCAUUCAUUUGACAUCCAUUGAAGAGCUGAUGCUUUCAAACAAUCACUUCCAGAUCCCAAUUUCACUUGAACCACUUUUCAAUCACUCAAGACUCAAGAUUUUCAAUGCUUAUAACAAUGAAAUAAAAGCUAAAAUAACUGAGUCACAUUCUUUGACCGCCCCAAACUUCCAAUUAUCACGUCUCUCAUUGUCUUCCAGUUACGGAGACGGUUUCAUAUUCCCCAAAUUCCUUUACCAUCAACAUGACCUGGAGUAUGUUGAUCUCUCACACAUAAAGAUGAAUGGAGAAUUUCCAACUUGGUUGUUGGAAAACAACACAAAAUUAGAAACUCUUUCUCUCGUCAAUGAUUCUCUUGGAGGACCUUUUCGGUUGCCAAUUCAUUCACACAAGCGGUUAGGAAUGUUGGAUAUAUCCAACAACAACUUCCGAGGCCACAUUCCAGUAGAAAUUGCAGAUGUUUUACCAAGUUUAUACGCUUUCAACAAUUCCAUGAAUGCUUUAGACGGUAGCAUUCCCUCUUCAUUUGGUAAUAUGAAAUUCCUCCAAUUUCUGGACUUAUCCAACAAUCACUUGACUGGUGAAAUUCCCGAGCACUUGGCCGUGGGUUGCGUCAACUUGAGGUUUCUUGCGUUAUCAAAUAACAACCUACAAGGUCACAUGUUCUCUAGAAAUUUUAACUUGACAAACUUGAAAUGGUUACAAUUGGAGGGCAAUCGCUUCGUAGGUGAGAUCCCACAAAGUUUGUCUAAAUGCUCCUCACUAGAAGGAUUGUAUCUUAACAAUAAUAGUCUUUCGGGUAAGAUUCCACGAUGGUUGGGUAAUCUCACAAGGUUACAAUGUAUUAUAAUGCCCAAUAAUCAUCUUGAAGGCCCUAUUCCAGUGGAGUUUUGUCAGCUUGAUUUGCUUCAGAUUUUGGACAUUUCAGACAACAACAUAUCUGGAAGUUUACCAUCUUGUUUCCAUCCUCUCUCUAUCAAACAAGUUCAUCUUUCAAAAAAUACGUUACAUGGACAACUAAAAAGAGGUACAUUCUUUAAUUGCUCUUCCCUUGUGACAUUAGAUCUUAGCUAUAACCGCUUGAAUGGCAGCAUUCCGGAUUAGGUUGAUGGGCUUUCUCAGUUAAGCCACCUUAUCUUAGGUCACAAUAAUCUUGAAGGUGAAGUGCCAAUUCAAUUGUGCGAAUUGAACCAACUACAAUUGUUAGAUCUUUCUAAUAAUAAUCUUCACGGUCCUAUUCCUUCUUGCUUUGAUAACACCACACUUCAUGAAAGUUACAGCAAUAGUUCUAGUCCUGAUGAGCAAUUUUAAAUAUCUUUUUUCAUCCAAGAAACUCAAGGAUAUGUAGAAAAGCAAAUCCAUGAAAUUUUUGAGUUCAUAUAUGUAGAAAAGCAAAUCCGUGAAAAAUUUGAGUUCACAACAAAGAACAUUGCGUACAUUUACCAAGGAAAAGUGCUUAGCCUCCUAUCAGGACUUGAUCUUUCUUGCAACAAGCUAAUCGGUCCUAUUCCUCUUCAAAUUGGAAAUUUGACAAGGAUUCAAACAUUGAAUCUAUCACACAACAACUUGACAGGAUCGAUCCCAUCAACAUUUUCAAACUUGAAGUAUGUCGAAAGUUUGGAUCUUUCCAACAACAAAUUGAAUGGGAAAAUCCCUCAUCAACUAGUGGAGUUAAAGACAUUGGAGGUUUUCAGUGUGGCAUACAAUAACUUAUCAGGCGAAAUUCCAGAAUGGACUGCACAAUUUGCAACCUUCAAUGAGAGUAGCUAUGAGGGAAAUACUUUUCUUUGUGGAUUGCCAUUGCCCAUUUGCAGAUCACCAGCAACUAUGUCGGAGGCUUCAAUUGGCAAUGAACGAGAUGAUAAUUUAAUUGACAUGAACAGUUUCUUUAUCACAUUUACAACAUCGUACGUAAUUGUGAUAUUCGCAACUGUUAUUAUUUUAUAUGUAAAUUCUUAUUGGCGACGUAGAUGGUUUUACUUUGUUGAAAUGUGGAUAACUUCAUCUUACUAUUUUGUUGUAGACAAUCUUAUUCCAACAAGAUUUUGUCAUUGAAAUUAAUUAGUAGCUUAAUUACGAUUCUUUAAGUACUAAUCAAGUUUGCUUAGGAAAUAUUUUUUUAUUAAAAUUGUAGUAGUAUUUAGCAUUAUAUAGCUUCCAACUUCCAAGCACUUCACAUUUGUCUCUACACUUAAAAAACUGAGUAAUCAUGUUUUGCAGAUCUGUCCACCAUAACUUAUAGCUUCCCUAUACUGUGCAGCAUACUUAAAUAAGAGAACCAUCUCCAAUGUUAAAAGCAUUCACUCUAUAACAUUCAUUUAGAAACUAUAUUCAGAAUAAUUUUAUAAUUAAACACGAGAAAUGAAACACAUAGAUACACUUGAUCGCCUAUUUUACUCUAAAAAAGAACGAUUAUUGUGCUAUCAUCAUCUUCUUCACUAGCAACAUUAACACCAAAUCGAUGGACCCAUACAUUUCAUCAAGAAAGGUAUAUAUCCAAUAAAGUUGAAGCCUAACAAAAAAUUCAAGAAGAUUAAUGCCUCGCCACAACAAGGGGCACAACAACAUCAAAGUAGAGAUUAAGCAGUAUUCUCAAAGCUAAAACUCUCAAAUCCACCCACCAGAAUUUCAUAUCUCCUCAACAAUUUUAAGAACUAAAGAUAAUUAGGAUUUAACAUUAGUUUUUUAUAUAUUAGUUUCAUAAUUUACAAAUCAAUGAAGAUGAAGAUUAUGCUAAUAAAUUCAAAUUAUACCAUACAUUCUCUAGAUGUUACCAAAAAUUUCUAAGUCAAUCCCACAUAUUUCAUAAUUUUAAGACUAGAAAAUUUCACUAGUUAGAAGUUUCAUUACCUUCAAGUGGAAGAUAAAGAACAUUAUACAAGUGAUUCAGAUUAUAUCAUACAUACUCCAAAUGCAACUAGAAAUUAACAAGUUCAUGCGCACAUAUUUCAUAACAUUAUGAUUGAAAAGUUUCACAAAGAGAAAUUCUAAAUUCAAUCUCUUGCAUGAAGGCAGUUUGAUUGAUUUGAGUUACUUUCUUAUCAAGCUACUAAUAUAACAUUCAAGUCAGGGAGAAAAUAAAUUAAAACUGGGAAGAAAUAAUAGUAAAAAUUUGUUGCUCAACAUGAUGUGUAUUUUUUUUCAAGGCAAUUUGGAAACACAAUUGUUACUACAGAUAUUCUUCUCAACUUGGAGAUAAAUACAAAUAUUAAAAUGCAUAUGAUCGCACAUAUUACUUCGAGUUUAGUAAGAUUUCAUUAAAAGAAGCAAUCAAACCACUUAUCAAUUGUCGCAGUCGUUCUAUAAACUAAAAUAGCAAUAUAAUACAAGAAAAAGAACAUAUAGAUACUUGGCAAGAGUUCAUUAAGAAGUCGCAUCACAUUCGGGUGAGGAGUUUGCUUCUGAUAUCUUGCUAGCUGGGGCUUUUUCUUGUCUUUCUACGUAUGCCGAGGGAAACCAACCAGCUUGGCCCUUGCAUUCACCUUCCGACCAUCCAAUAGGAGCCACCUUGAGAAGUUAUAACUAAAACGGUGAAUUAAACAAAAGUUGACCGUUCAAAGACCUAAGGGGAAAACUAAUUCUUUUACGUAGGAGGAGUGAAUUAGUUGUGAUCACUGAAAUAACAGCAUAACUAUGGAAGCAUAACAAGAUAUAAAUUCACACGUCUAUAAGGAUAAACUGGGUGGUUCAGAACUGAGCUAGCAACCCUACUAUAUUCUGAUUUGCACUUCAAUGUAAAAGGGAAUAUAUGGUAGGAAGAAAGAAAACCAACCAUCAUUUGUUAACUCAUUGCUUUUCAAUCAAAAUUUUAAGAACAAAAUGCCAUGUGCUUUGAACAUCAAAUAAGUAUAAGCAUUAGUUCUAAAUUCCACAUAUCAUAAGUUGUUAGAAGGAUAAGUUAAUAGCAGAGUAGAAAAAUCUAUGUGUUGGUAUUUAGAGGGGAAAGUACCUGGCGAAUCACAACAUAAUCAUCAAUUGAAAGACUUAGCUCUCCAUUUGCUUGAGCAUCAAAUGGAUGUAUAACCUGCAAGAUAAUGGGAUAAAUAGAACUUAAAAAAAGCAUAACAAAAGCAGCAACAGUAGCAGCAACGUUCAUUGUAACCACUAUGAUCAUGGCCAACAAAGAUAUAUUAGAAACAAAAUUCCAUUUUUACUACGACAUUAAUAUGUACUAUACAAAUUCUAAUAAGUUCUGUAUAACUUUAUGUAGUUAUUUAAAUUAUGGAUCAGAUUUUAAAUUUGAAAUUUUGACUGCUCUCCACAAAACAUGGCCUAUGCACAAGAAAGUCAUAGAUAAUGAGGAUUACAAGUGUCCGGCAUCUUUUGAGUGAUGGAUUUAACAUGAGAGCUUAUGGUCAGUCAAUUUCCUCUGCCUAGCAAUAUAAGCUUUCUCGGCCAGAUUUAUCAUCAAAUACAUAGAUUGCCCCCAAGUCACAUCCAUAUAAACAUAGUUUUUCUAGGUAAACCAAGUAAGGAGUAUCAUAAUUCAGACAUAAUCAUAAAAAGGCCCAUCUAAAUUAAGAGAAAAUCUCAAAAAGAGGGAUGCUGAGCUAUCAGUCUUGUAUCUAUAAGCAAUAUCAAGACUUUACAUCACCUGCUACAUCGUGAGUGGCUACACAACUUUCAGUGGUUUGUCUUUCUUUGGCACGCCUAACUCAGCUUUGAUGUUAGUGAGAUAUUGAUAGUAGAGACACAUGAUACUUCUAGCUCAUGCAUUCUAUCUAACCCAUCCAACAACUAUCUCUUUUUUAAUUCAUUAGUGUUUGCUAAACCUCAUGCUUAAAAGUCCUAUUCUCCUUAGCACCACAGUUGGACACUUGUAGAGCAAUUUUAUUUGGGGGAAAAGAAUUUUCAAGGUGUUAACUAAUAAAUUUUAAAAAAUAAUUACAAUUUGUCCUACGAUCAUAUGACAAUUUAUCUGGGAUGAAAGGAUACAGAUAGACAUCUUCCACUUUCAAGACUAAUCACUACUUCCAUAGAUGUUGUGCAAUAAUACAAAUACUUGACCAGAUGGUAGUGAUGGUAGAAAAAAAUUUUAUUGCUCCAAAAUUAAAAUAAGAAUGCAAUAUGUUAAGCAAAAGGCUGUGCAACAUCAAAUUAAUUGAUAAGUUUGUAAUUCAGUAAAUUAACAACUUUCGUGGUAAAAUACAACAAAUUUCUUUUGAAAAAAAUAAAAAAAAUAAAUCUUAAAAGACAGCAUUCAAUUUUGUGCGCAUCUUAUUUCUUAAGAUUUUUCAGGAGGAGGGCAAUAGAGGGACUUUCACCUAUGCAAGAGAGCAGAAGCCUUACUUUCCCUAUAAAGUAGACGUCAUUCUGAUUAAUAUGCGUUUGCAAAUCAGCUCCGUUUGAAUCAGUAUUCUGAUAGACACACGAGCCAUUUACAUCCAUUUCCAAAGUCACAUGUUGCGAGGAGGACUCAUUUGAUUGCUCCUAUACGAUCAUCUAAUUCAAGUAGCAAGGGUUGGAAGAGAAUAAAAAGUCACAAUUAUUCUUUUGCAUAAGUGAGACGAAAAUGAUAAAUGCAAUAUUAUCAGCAGUAAACAAGAAGAGAACGCUCCAAGAAAUAGAUAGAUGCAGACAAGCAAGUUAAAAUGCAUAGUCCCAAACCUCCGCAUACAACUUCUCUAAAAUAGCAAUAACGUGUUGAUGCUAUGUUUUCUCAGCAUCUACCUGCAAAGGCCCGAGACCAGGAAAACAACAAUAAAACCACUAGCUGAAGGAGAAAGCAAAGAAAGAAAUACACUUGACAUAAAUCUUGACAAGAAGCACAAUUUAAGACAUAACAAACCCCAAUCAUAUUGUUUAGAACUACCAUUCGUUAUUUCGUUAUUGUAACAUUUCGAACAAGUGUUGACUUAAUUCAACAUUGUUGGAAAGAUGGGCUUUUAGAAGCAGAAGAAAGCCUCUCAAACCAAAGUGCUUGUCCUUGUAUUGAUCAAGGGAUGUAAACAUAUUACAUUUGCAGGAUGAGAUUUAAUCACUCCCCUGAUUUAUUUGGGUUGCAGUAAAACUAAGCGAGCAACUGUUUGACUUCCAAGCAACAGCUAAAUCAGCUAUUAAAAUUCAAAUAAAAUCAUAAUAGAAUAAUAACAGGCCAUCUUGCAUCAAAAAUUAAGUUUAAUUUGUGAAUUGUUUUCUAUAGACAUGUCAGUUUCUGCUAUUGAAAUGUUAAAAGCAUUGAAAAAUUAUUCAAUAAAUUAUGCAAGCAUUAAAAUAGAGGACAUAUUAAAAAGUUUCUAAUUACAAUGUUAAUAUUUCCUAUAUUCUAGCAUUUGCAUAUUUUAAUUUAUUUAAAAGCUACGUCGAUCAACUUUGGGCAUGAAGAUUUUAGCUUCUACGAGACUUGCUUGGAAUAUGCACAAGAGUGUUAAAAUAUGAUGCAUCCAACGAAAGACAAACCACGUGUAGUCUUUUAAUUAAGCCAAAGUAGCAGCUCAAACAAAUGACACUUGGACCAACAUGCAAUCAUGAAGUGGCCGGAAAAAGGACAAAUGCUACUUUGGCUUAAAUAAAAAAUAACAUGUGACUUGACUUUUGCUGGACAUGCAUCAUGUUAUUACAAGACAACAGAAAUCAGUAUGAUAGUACUAAAAGUUGACAAUAACAUGAAGAUAAGAGGCAGACUGUCAACACAUGCAUAGGCACACACAAGAAAGUAUUAACUUCUAUACCAUAGCAAAAAGUCUUUGAUAUGUCAUCUGUUGCUGCUGUGAUUCAACUGACAGCAUGGCAGCUGUUGCUUCUCUACCAAGAGCCAUUAUUGUAGAUUUAAGCUCCGUCUAUCUUGCUUCUGCAUUUCGAAGCUUCACAGCACUCUCUGCUGAUAUAUCAGAUUCCCUAAUCUUUGAUCGGCGCCUAAAUACUUCAGCUGCCUGGUGAAAAUAUUCAAUAUAAAUCUAACAUAAUUCUAAUCUUGCCUUAUACAUGCAUAUGUUACCUCAAAGCUUACCUGGGCUUCAACUUCAUGUCGAAGUUUGUCAUAACGAUGAGUCAGGUGUCGAGCAUCUUCCAAAGGUGUUCCGUUGAUUAACGCCCGUAGUGGCUCAGGUACCUACAUGUCCAAAAACCUGUAACAUAGUUAGAAAAAUGAAAAGAAAGAGCGAAACCUCAAUUAAAAAGUUCCUCCAACAUAAUCAUGGAAUUUGGGCCUACUUCAAGGAUAUAUAUAAGGAUAAUUUAUGCAAUUUUGGGUCUGAGGAUGAUUCAUAUUAGGUUAGUGUUCUUCUCUUCUGUAUUUAAGGUUAAAAUAGAAAUAAACCUAUGAAAAUAUCUAAAUUAGGGCUGUAAGACUUCCACAUGCAUCCUUCAGUCUCAUGGAUUUGAUUUUACUAUAGAUGCAAGUGUCUUUAAAGAAAAUGCUUGGAGUCAAUUGAGAGAACUCACGGCCAAAAACUUGUCACACGCUAGUCUUUGCUAGUGAUGUAAGAAGUCACAGGGUCUCUUCAACAUUUGAACCAAUAAAAUUAUUAAGUCAUGGAUGUCACUAGCAAUGAUUUUAAUAUAAAACAUUAAAUAUUUCAGAGUUGUAACUUUAAAAUGGAUUCUUUUAUUCAAUAUCAUAGAACUAAGUUUCCUUAUGAGAAGAUAAUAGUUUCGAUAAUAAUUUUACAUAUAAUUUUCUAUAUUUGAAUUAUUUUCUAGUUAGGGAUGAACUAACCUGAUCACGAAGAAUCCCGAGCAAAGUUUCCCUCUCAUUUUCCAUCAAAUCAUGUGAAGUGCCAAAUUGAAGAGCAGCUCUUGCAACGCAAGAAUUGUCACUUUGAUUCUCUGCUCCAUACUUGCAACAAUCUUCAGCCAACUUUCUCGCUACAAUAUUUGAAUACAAAAAUAUUGUACACAAGAACUAUAAAAAACUAAUGAAAAAUGCCAAGAUGGAGCAGAUGCUUCAAUACUGCCCGUACAAACCAUAAAAAACUAAUGAAAAAUAAAUAAAAUCAAGAAAUUUUACUAAUUAAAAGUCUAAAUAUAAUUUUGAAAAAAGAAAAGAAACGGACUUGCUGCUGCUUGGCGACUUGUUCUCGGAGCUUGAUUGCUUGUUUCUUGAUAGCUUCCAUACUGUUUCUUUCAAAAAGCGACGACGGCUCAGCUCAUGGAAGUGGAAAAAAAAAGUGUGAUCGAGAAAAAUGAAAAGGCGUGAAUAAUUUUUGACAAAAAGCGAAAAUCAAGGAAAGCCGGCUCUUUCCAGAAAAUAAAAAAAGAAAAAAGAAAAUCAUAAGUUUGAAAGGAGAAGAUGAUAGUGGAAGUAUGCAGUGUGGCUGCCAGGUACUUGGAUUGUAUUGUCGGGUAAGGUAAAAGUGGAGAAUUAUAAGUUUGAACAGAGCAUGUUGGACUUUUGUUGACCAAAUUCAAAAGCCCAAUGGGACGGUCCAGAAGCUUUUGAAUAGAAAAACUUGCUAGAAAGCAUCAGUUUAAAUCACUACUUAAACGCUUGCUUUAACUGCACCGCUUUGUACUGUUUUAUGUAUGUAGCGGUUGUGCGGUUGUAAUUCACGGCUGACGCUACGUGUUUGUUUGUACUGUUCUAUUCGGUGACAGAGUAUUAUUAGUUAGGCCAAAACUAUGUUGCAACAGUGGUACAAUAGCACUGUUGUUUUCAGUCAUUAGAUCUAUAGUUGUACAGUUGCAUUAACAAGAUCCAAUGGUUGAAAACAACAGUGGUACCGAACUACUGUUGCAACAUAGCUGGACCCUAUUAGUUAUUUCAAAGGGAUAAAUAAGAUUGGUUACAACAAACCUACUAAUUUUAUAAAAUUCAAGUAAUAUAGAAUAAAAUAAAAAAAUAAAUACAAAAUUGACUUUUAUUUUUUAUGGUUGACUAUAUUUUGUGUUCUCUUCGGGCACUGCUACAAUUCUUCCCUAUAUAUCAAUUACACCACAUACUAUCGACACAAGAAAUGAAAUCUAAUAUCACCUAUUUAGUUAAAAAAUCACUCAUGAAAAAAUUUUACCAUUUUGAUUUGAGGAUCCAUAUUUUGAACUACAAGCUAAUGUUCAUCAAGAAUCACUGAUGGCCGUUGAGUAGAAAAAUUAUUUUUGGACAAAUUAUUUUUGUUGAUAGAAGAAUUUCUUUAGGGACUACUAAAUUAUUAAUAAAAAUAUCGAACACACCCAAAUAUCAUCGACACAAUUGAUUUUGAGGAUCCAUGCUUUGAACUGCCGCCUAAUGUUCAUCAAGAAUAGAGUAUGGCUUGUGAGUAUAAAAUUUUCUUAUUUUGGCCCGAAAUAAAAAAAAAUUAAAUUGGAUGAGAAUCUGCCACUUUCUCAUGAAGAAAGGCAUACGGAGCAUACCAUGGUACCAUACAAUAUAAGGAGCCUCCGUUCUUUGGUUUUUCAAACUCUGAAGGGGCCAAUAUUGCCAAAUUCCCCCUUGAAAAUUCUGAUUACGACAUUAUUCAUCGCUUGAUGCAAUCAAAGUAGUGACAAAGUAAUUGCUAGGCAAGGUUGCUGAGAGCAAAAUUGUCCUAAGCAUUAUAUGCAUACAUGGUGCGGUACAUAGAGCACGUUGAAUUCCCCACUAUAACACAAAUCCAGAAAGACAAGUAAUAACUCAACUGAUAUAAAGACAAAAAGAAGAUAAAAUGAUAUAGAACAAAGAAUUUCAAAGAGACAGCAACAUACGAUAGACUGAAGCCACUUGAUCUGCUCAUUGAUUGCAGCCUUAAACUUGCAAAUAGUUACUGUACGCUAGUGCUCUAAGAAGUGAAAAUGAUGCAAGCCCUGAUUCCCUUUUGACUUCCAUUUACUGUCAAACAUUCUAGUAAUACAAAAAAUUGUUUAGAUAUCUUGCUAUAAAUAUAGCCGUUUGACUGUCAUAAUAAAGUCACAAAUAACCAUUCAUAUUGAUCUACUAUCACACAGCAUGCUUUAUGCAUACAACAGCUGUAUGUAUACCAACUCCUAACCUUAUCAACACAUUUGGCAAAAACUUAGGAAGAAAACUAUUUCUCCAUCUCUUUUUUGAAAUUUCACAAUAACCAGCACAAUGUGAAAGCUAUGUUCUAACCUUAUGAUAAAUGCUCCAGACUCCAAAAGGAUUUUAUAUAUGAGAGUUUGUUGCAGCAGAUAUAUUGACUUAUCAAGUAUGAAUCAUUGUCUGGAUGAACUAUCUUUAGAUAAAAGAAUAUUAGAACCACUGUAGAAUAUCUUUACGCUGCUGGUUCUAACAGGAAUCUGCAUGUGGCAACAAUUGCUAGAUCCACAACUCCCCAACUUGAAAUACAUAGUUGCACACCAUGAGAUAGUGCUACAAUCUACUGAGAUCUAACUUAUAUGGUACUUUAAGCUACUAAUGUUUGCAUAUUUCUACAUGUUAAAUUAACACUAUUAUCUAUAAUCACUCCAAAACAACAAAUGAUAAGCAACUUUUGGCCACUUAUUACUAGCAUCCACAAUUAUAAAUAAGAGAUCAUGGGUUUACUUGUUGCACCUACUUAAUUAUCUGCAGUUGACAUCCUGACGCAAGGUUUAAAUAGUGACUGCUUAGAACCCUUGUAGUUGGAUCUUGACCUCUCCCAUUGUAGCCAAGAUUGGUUACUCUGGUAAUGAAUCAACACUCUCCUGCUCAGGGCCAUGAAGAUCUGAAAGCUCAGCACUAGUGGAGAACUUCAUCAAUCUCUUCUUCUCAGCAUACUUGAGACAAGGCUGCCUUACGAGACCAAUCACCAUAGCACCAACGCUUAAAACUGCAACUUUUAAAGAAGAAAGAGCCAACACAACACAACACAACACAAAUCAAUAUGGUUGGAGGAAUACACAUGAUAAUGGCUCCAACAGUGACAGUGGGUAUCUUGUAGGGACGAGAUGCAGCAGGAUAUUGCAUCCUUAACCAUACAAAUGCUAUGAACUCCAUAAUCAUUCCAAAACAGUACAGGAAGUUCUCUGCAGCUACAAUAUCUCAAAAGCUCAGCCAUGAUAGCAAAACCACACCGGAUGCUGAGAAUAUGAUUCCAAUCAAAGGAGUCCCAUAACAAGACCUCUUAGCAAAAAACUCAGGUAGCGUUCCACGCUCAGCCAUCCCCAAAAGUUGGAAAGAGUCGCUGCUCAUCUCAGCCACAAACAUGCCCAUAUUGGACAUUGCUGCAGCCCCCUGGAUGCACCAUCUCAACCAAACUCCUCCAAGCACUUUAGCGAUAUCUGAAAAGUAACCAUCGGUCCACAAGUCGCGAUCUAAUGGAAUAGCUCCAGUUCCAACUAGAAGGGGAAAGAAAUAUCCAAAAACGACCAAGAUCAAAGCAUAAAACAAAGCCUUUGGAAGAGUCUUCUUUGGGUUAUCCACCUCUCCAGCUAGUUUACUUAUUGAGUCCCAGUAGUUGGAGAUUCCAAAACAGGGUGUUCAAAUACAAAUUCCAGUCCACUUCACCUAAAUUUACUACAAGCCAUCUUGAAGGCUCUAACUUGGGAAGGGACACAAGUCCCAUAACCACAAAAGGAAGGAAUGAGAAAAUCUCUAAAAGAACAGCAGCCCAUCCCACAAUGGUUAGACCCCUAUAGUUCAUGAAAGUGAGAACAAAAGUCAAAGCUAACGCCGCAAAGGCUCUAGGUAACCCAUCGCCCAAAGCAGGGAUAUACCAGACUUCAAGUAGUCAAGAAACAGAACUGGGUAUAAAGCAUUAUCAAUAACCCCACUUAGCCAUUUCAUCCAAACUUGCUGAAAACCCCAAUAUGGGCCUAAGGCAGAUGAAACCCAAACCACAUAACCACAAUUUUCAGGAAACACGGUACCCAUCUCGGCAGUAAUUAAAGCUUCAGGGACACUCCAUAUAAUCGGAAACACCAAGAAACCAAGAAGUGCUAAAAGAGGACCAGCUGCCUUUACACUAUCCUCAACACCAAACGCCCCCCCAGAAACCUCAUAGAAUAUAAGGAAAAUAAGUGGCAAGAUUGAUACUUUUUUAGCGCCAUGGACUCUAGGAGAAGAUGGUUGGUCAUUGAUAUUAACAUAUUCAACAGCAUCAGACUGCCCCAUUUCUACUGAAAGUUGCCUAUUCACAGUGUUCCUCAAUUUCUGCAUCAAGUUUAAGCAUAACUAUCAAAAGGGUAUCGGCAUCUAAAUUAUGAAACAAAAUGAGCAUUUACUUAUUAAAAAAAUUCAAAAAAACAGAAAUGGAUUUCACAGAACACAUGAAUUUAAGUUCAACAUUAAACAGGCGCUUAAGAAAACAAAAGGGUCUGGUCGUAAAGCCAUCAGAUUGCAAGAUUGAACAACAUUAACGGAAUCAAUAGAAUCGAUGUAAAGAGAUCUGAAAAGAAAAUAAAAUAAAAGAUGAAGAGGGAUAAAACGACCCAUCAAAUAAGUGCAUGCAGAGCAGAGAGGCAGAUACUAGAGAAGCUCCGUCAUGUUAGAGAGAGCCUAAAUCAAUCAGAGCUCACUGAGUUUCUUUUCAACUGACCGGCAGAUUUGGAGUAGCAUAACAUAAUAUUUUUGCUUUUAAUUUUCGGAACACUUUUGAAUGGAAUUUUUUGUUUUUCAAAACUAACGAAAUCGUAAAAAUAAAUAAACACGUGUUUGGUUUUGGGCUUCUUCUUUUGUUCAUUUAAUAUCAUUUGGUUCCCUGAUUUUUGACUAAUUAUCAACGGUAUCCUGUUAGUUUCCAAAUUGAAAUAAUAUUAGGUCAUGAGAUUAUUUACUCCAUUUAGCAAUGUAGACUUAAUAGUGUAUUGAAAAAGCUUUGUCAAAUAGUAGUAAUAGGGGCAUAAGAAAUAAGUUCUUCAGAAUUUAGAUAAUAUACUUGGCUCUAGGAAGAUUCCCCUCUUAUCACUCAAGUUAGGCUUUUACCUUAGAGUUGAGUAAAUUAUUAAAAUAAAUUAUAGCUAUCACAAAUUCGUCAGGAGACUUUCAAUUUUUUUCCAUCAAAUGGCAAUGAGGCAAAAUUACCUCAACUUAUAUUUCAAAACUAAUACUUCAAAUUCUGACAAUAAAUUUGAUGACAGUCAAUUUUAUGUAUAGUAAUUUUGACUCUUUUGUUUGGUCUAAAAGUAAUUAUUUAAAAUGACAAUAUAACUUAUUUAGAAGAAAUGGUAAACUUAUAGUUCGUAAUAUUAUUUACACAAAUAAUAAAGACUAAUUUGAUAAUAAUCUUUCAAAUAAUAAUGAAGUGUUAAUUACUAUUUAACAUUUUUGAUUAAUUUCUAAAUUUAAAACAAAUAUGAAAGUUGAUUGCUUUGAAGGUUGGAUCGUGACAAAUUGACAAAUGAAAAGAGAAGUAGAGAAUAUAUAUUCUGAUGAAAGGGACAAGAUUCAGCAAGGGGACAAUAUUCUCUAUUGGACCGACAAAUGGGGGAAAAGAAUAUAUAUAUAUAUAUAAUUUCUUAUUUGUGGAUUGGCCAACACGUGUAACAAAUAUGAAAAGAUAAAAUUUGGCGUGGUUUUAACCGAUAUAAGACAAGAAGAACAAAGCAAAGCCCAUGAAAAUUCACCUUUCAUGUGGGUUGGAUCGGAUAAAAUCAAUAUCUUGAAUCAAACAAAAUGUUUGGUACAUAAAGUUUUUUUUUUUUACAUGAUAUUAGAUUUUUAUCCCUCGAAUUUUUACAUGAUAUUAGAUUUUUAACCCUCACUAAUAUUCGAGAGAUAUCUACUCCUCAUUUUUGGGUAAGGGAGAAGACUACCUUCACUCAAUUAUAAUUAAGGAAUGAAAUACCCCCACAUUACACUUGUAGGGGUUCAAACUGUUGCCCUCCAACUUGGAGUGCAGCAGCGCUGACCACUCGGCCAAAGUCCGAGUGGCUGGUACAUGAAGGUUUUGAGUGUGUGUAAUGAGCCAAAAUUUACAUAAGGAUAUUUUAGUAAAUAUAAGAAAAAAAGGCUCAGGGAAUGGCCUAUAGAUAGAAGCACGCAGCCCAUGAGUGAUGAGAAUACAAUUUAACUGUUCAAACUAAUUAGAAGCAAAUUCUUUCAUAUCUUUCUUUAAUUUUUCCGCUUAGUUCCUUAGCAUCCAAUCAAGUUCAAGUUAAAACACUGUUGAGACAACAAUAUGCAGGCAUCAAUAAGCAUAGUAGUUUUUUAUAUGUAUUCUAUACGACAAUUAUAGAACUUUUUGCAGCAACUUUUUUUCAUUAACUAAUGUUUGAAGAACUUGUUAAAAAAAAUGGUAAAUUUAUAAUUUUGAAAAAAAAGAAAGAAAGUGACGUUACCUCAUCGUCAUUAGAGACUUGUUGCAAUGAUAGCUCAAAAUUAAAAUUUUUGAAGAAUUAGUAGACGACGAUGAUGUAAUAUUUAUACAGUCACCAACAUGUUGAUUUUUGUUUAAUGUUUGAUCGAUAGAAACGCUUGUCGUCGUCGCUGUUGUUGAAUUCAUACAUAGAACACAGAAGAGAAGGAGGGAGGAAAGGGAAGAGAAGAAGAGAGAAGUGGCAUAUAGCAAAUAUGAUAUGCUAGCUGCAUACCAGCCUUAGAGAGAUUUUUUUUAAUAUUUAUUAUAUUUUUGUUUUUGUUAUUGGUUUGUCAUAUGCUUCCAGGGAAGCAAUACGUUACAUCAUAAAUUGCACCUUUUAGGGGAGGUGGUAAAAAACGUGAGAGCACUACGCUCCAGCGCAUACAUAUAGAAAGAGUUUUCGAAUUUUAAAAAGUUUCUUUAUUUCUUCCAUGUUUUUGUGCUUAAAAUAAAAUUUAAUUGUAUUUUGCAUUAACUUAGAAAAGAAAAGCCAGUUCUAUAUAUAAACUCAUGCAUUAAUUAGAAGAGUUGAACUAUUGGCACCCCUCUAUAAUCUUUAUAAAAUUCCUCUCCUAUUGUAAUUACAUUAAAGGACAAAAUAAAUCUAAUUAUAUCAUUAUAUUUCUCUUUUCAACUCUUUACACCCGUGCAACUACACCAAAGUCUUUUACAAUUUUUGUUUCCUCACAAACAACUUUUUCUUGAGAGAUUUACAAAACUUAUUUUUAAUUUUAAAAAAUAAAUAAUAGUUAUUUGAGUCCACUUUAAUUUACAAAACUUUCUAAUAAUAAGUUUUGUAGACUUAUUUUUCAUUUACAAAACUUUCUGAACUUAUUUUUAUUUUUAAAAAAUAAAUAAUAGCUAUUUGAGUCCACUUUAAUUCUACUUAAUUCAUACAUGUAUUUGAUUUUUUUGAGUAAAAUAUGUAUGAUUUAAUAAUUCAAAAAUUUAUAAAAACAAUAUUUGUAAUUGGAGUUAUUUGGAAGAAACUGAAUUGUUUUUCUUUUUGAAUAAAAAAAAGCUGAAAAAAGAAAAAGGAUAUUUUAGGAAUUAAAAUAGAUUUUGAUAGAAAAGGGGUUUGAACAGAAAAUUACAGGGUGCUAAUAGUCCCACUCUAAUUAAAAAAUGAGUUCAUGUGGAUGCAAAUGUACAAUAAAAGAGAUUCUCUUUUGUAUAUUGGAAGUAACAUAACUAGUGAGUAUAAUAUGUAAAUACAAGUUACCAAGAAUUUGCACUAGUGCUAAUUAAUGGCACAACUUUUGAGCUAUGAAUUUCUUCUUGAUAGUUUAAUUAUAUUUUUGAGUUUUCGGUAAACCUAUUUUAAUAAUUAUUAAAUUAUUUUCACUUCUUACGCCUUAAUAAAAAAAAAUCAAUAUUUUCUGGUCUAUUCUAUAUUUUGAAACUUAAUUUUUAAUUCUUUAUAUUGCAAACCAAACUAAGUCAAACAGAGUAUGCUCUUCAAAGAAUUUUUCCAUUGGCCAUUGCCUUCAAGAAGAUUUUAUUUUAUUUUUAUAUAUUAAUUUAACAUUUUUCCGUGCACUUGUAAACCGGGCCGUCGGAUUCCACAUAAAGCAAAUGAUCAAACCGUUACAAGACCGACCCGGACCCACUGACUCUCAUUUUCUUUCAUUUGACCAUUAAAAGCUUUUGACCACCCCCGCCAAAUAAAUAAAUAAGCUCUUGUUCUCUUUUGUUCCUUCUUAAAGGAAAAUAUAUCUGAUCACCAGAUAAUGAUUCCGGUGUCACAAAAUAUCAAGACAACCCCUAAAUUCCCUUAAAUUUACGAUAACACCCCACCAUGGAUGAUUCCGUUGAAAUGCCGCCUUACGAUGAAAGGCCUUAGAAGGGUUUUAACUUCACACCCAUGCGCUUGAUCUUAACCCUCAUUUUCCCAAUUUUAACUUUCUUUUCGUUGGCAUUUUUGAUCGAGAUCGUUACUGUUUUAUUCGGCGAAUCAUCAGUUUCGAGUUCCAUUUUUGUCCCUUCCCAGUGCAAGAUAGUGCCAGCAGUAAGCUUUUUUAAAAUUUUCAAUUUUUUUCCAUUUAUGAAGCUCAAAAAUUUUAUUAAUUUUUGAAUUUUUUUUGAAUGAUUUUGCAGGUGUUGAUAUAAGGUCAUCAAAGGUUUGUGAACUUGGAGUGUUGAAUUAUAAGGCGAAGCGUGUGUUUUAUCCAUUUGAAGCAAGUAAAUUUCGCCGUCGAUAUGAUUACUAUUGGGCUUCUAUCUUCAAGGUAUUCAUACAUUUUCUCAACUUUAAUUACUUACCUGUACUAUUAGCUUCUUAGUGGCGGUCUUGUUUUGUGUUUUUGAUGAAUGUGUUUAAGGGUCAGUUUGGGAAUGCUGGUAAUAGGAUGUUGUUAGUGUUUGGCAGUAAAUUUGCUAUGCAUAAUUCAGCAAUGUGCUUGAUUUUGGUUAUUGUCUUUAACAAUUUUUAGGUAGAGUACUUAGAUCAUUCACUGGGACAAACGCAGAGCUUGGUUGACCAAAGAUAAGUUCCAGGCUGGGGUCGGCAAUGCAGAGCUUCUGCGUGUAUUAAAAUUUGAAGCCUAGUAAAUGAAUUUCUAAUUUAUUUAUAGUGUUUGUUUUAUCUUGAUAGAAAUGAAUGCUAACUCAAGAUUUUCCCAACUUUGAUUACUUACCUGUACUAUAAGCUUCUUAGUGGCGGUCUUGUGAGCGGUGUGGCUGACAGCUUCUUGAAAAUUAUAAGUUUGAACAGAGCAUGCUAGACUUUUGUUGACCAAAUUCGAAAGCCAAAUGGCACAGCUCAGAACCUUUUGAAUUGAAUAACUUACUAGAAAGCUCCAAUUUUUUGUUGGCUACGGUAAAAGGAUGUUGUUUUAUUCUUCUUAUACUUUACGCUUGCAUCAGCUUAAAUCACUUCUUAAACGCUUUGCUUUAACUCCACCGCUUCAUACUGUUCUAUAUAUGUAUCGGGUAUGCGGUUGUAGUUCACUGCUGAGACUACGUGUUUGUUUGACGUGGUAAUUACGUUACGAGUCUGUUAAACAUUCGGUGAUUAAAGUAUUAUCAGUUAUUUCGAGGGGACAAAAAAGAUUAGUUACAACACACCCACUAGUUUUAUAAAAUUUGAAUAAGAUGGAAUAAAAUAAAAAAAUAAAUAAGUAAAUUGACUUUUAAUUUAGUGGUUGAAUAUAUUUUGUAUUCUCUCGGGGUACUGCUGUAAUUGUUCCUUAAAUGUCAGUCACACCCACAUGUUACAGACACAAGAAAUGGAAUCUAAGAUCACCUGUUUAAUUAAAGAAUCACUCAUGAAAAAAUUUUGCCAUUUUGAUUUGAGGAUCCACAUUUUGAACAACCAACUUAUCUUCAUCAAGAACAGAUCAUGGCCUGUGAGUAGAAAGAUUAUUUUUGGACAAAUUAUUUUUGUUAAUAGAAGAAUUUCUCAAGGGACUAUUAAAAUUACUAAUAAAAAUGUCAGACACACCCACGUACCAUCGACACAAUUGACUAUGAGGAUCCAUGUUUUGAACUGCCACUUAAUGUUCAUUAAGAACAGAGUAUGGCUUGUGAGAAGAAAAUUUUCUGAUUUUGGCCUGGAACAAAAAAAAAUUAAAUUGAAGGAGAAUCUGGUACUUUCUCAUUAAGAAAGGCAGACGGGGCAUACUAUGGUACCAUAAAAUACGAAAAGUCUCCAUUCUCUAGCUUUUUAAACUCUGAAGGGGGCAAUAUUCCCCAAUUACCCCGUGAAAAUUCUGAUUACGACAUUACUCAUCGGUUGAUACAUAAGUACAAGUACUGACAAAAUUAGGAAAAAUAUGACUCAUAAGUAAUUACUAGGCAGGGCUCUUGAGAGCAACAUUAUACUAGGCUUUAUAUGCAUACAUGGUGUGGUACAUAGAGCACGUUGAAUUCCACACUAUAACACAAACCCAGAAAGACAAGUAAUAUCUCAACUGAUAUAAAGACAAAAAGAAAAUAAAAUGAUAUAGAAAAAAGAAUUUCUAAGAGACAGCAACAUACAAUAGACUGAAGCCAGUUGAUCUGCUCAUUGAUUGCAGCCUUAAACUUGCAAAUGUUUACUGUAGCCUGGUGCUCUAAGAAGUGAAAAUGAUGCAAACCUUGAUUCCCUGUUUACUUCCAUUUACCAUCAAACAUUCUAUUCAUAAGAAAAAAAAUCUUUAGAUAUCUUGCCGUAAAUAUAGCCAUUUGAUUGUCUUAAUAAAGCCACACACAACCAUUCAUAUUGAUCCACAUUGCCACAUAGCCUGAUUUAAGCAUACAACAGCUGAAUGUAUACUGACUCCUAACCUUAUCAAUACAUUGGCGACAACUUAAGAAAAAAACUAUUUCUCCAUCUCUUUUUUGAAAUUUCACAAUAAAACAGCACAAUGUAAGAGCUGGAAUGAAAAUGGACCGUUUGGAACUAUGGCGGAAGCUUCAACUAGUGUAGUGAGUUGACCUUCUUAUUAACCUAGCGAGAUCAAACACUGCCCUUGAUCUUGAACAUAUCAAUACGAUACGCACAACUUAUGAUUGAAUCCAGAAACAAUCAAAUCUUUAGCAAGAAUAAUUAAUCAGAAUCAAGAAACAAGUUUAAUGAAUAUAAACCUAUAAUUGGAACAAACACAGCCAAAGAACCCAAGAAUGACACAACGAACACCAAGGGAGAAGCUUUCCAGUGAGAUUAUAUUAAUGAUCAAAGAAGAAUCUUUUUACAAAGAUAACAAAAGAGAUUUCAGAGAAUAAGCUAUGACCCUCUCUCUCUUCAAUCUCUGUCUAGUUUGUUAACAGUGAUGACCCCAAUCUGCUUCGUUAGCCAGCUUCAUAACUGCGUCAGUGACAAACUAGCAAACCCAGAUUGAGCAGACUAACGACACGUGCAUAACGGCUUUAACGAACUUGGUUAAAGAACUGCUCACAUGUUCGUCACGCGUGUUGCUUAAAUGAUAGCCAAAACGACUUCAACCAAAUGCCGUUUUGAAGCUUAUGAAUUAUAAGUGAAAACACGUGCUUGUCUCGUGACAUUUAAAUGCAACAACAAGCCCAAAACACUGCCGGUUCACUAUGUUGAGUUUGCCAUCUCUAAGCUUCACAACUAGCAGCGGACAAGAUGAUAAUUUAAUUGACAUGGAGAGCUUUUAUAUCACUUUUACAACAUUCUAUAUAAUUGUGAUAUUGGGAAUCGUCGGUGUUGUAUAUGUGAACCCUCGUUGGCGACACUGGUGGUUUUAUCUUUAUUGAAAUAUGGAUGACUUUUCGUUACUAUUUUGUUGUACAUAACAUUAUUCUCAGGAGAUUUAAUCAUUGAAAUUAACAUGUUAGUUUCAUUAGAAGGCUGAGUGGUUAGGGCUGCUACCCUCCAACUUGGAGGGCAAUAGUUUGAACCCACAAGCGCAGUGUGGGGGUAUUUCAUUCUUUAAUUACAUUGUAUAAUUGAAUAAAGAUAAUAUUCUCUCUUACCCAAGUGUGAGUGGAGUAGACAUCCUUCGAAUAUUAGCGAGGGUUAAAACUUGGGCAGAGCUCAAUAAGUAUUGAUGUAAGUUGGUCCUAAUAAUAGUCUGAUUUGUAAAUAUCAGUUAUAGUCUCAUGUUUCCUUCCUUAAUUAUAUUGUAUAAUUAAGUAAAUGUACUCUUUUCUCUUACCCAAGUGUGAGUGGAGUAAACAUCCCUCGAAUAUUAGUGAGGGUUAAAAUCUGGGUAGAGCUCCAUAAGUAUUGAUGUAAUUUGAUCCUAAUAAUAGUAUGAUUUGUAAAUAUCAGUUAUAUUAUCAUGUAAUAUGAGUUGUAAUUUGAGUAAUAAUUUCAUGUAAUUACAAAAAAAAUGUUACUUUCAUUACUUUUUUCUUCGUUAAAAUUCUCAAGUAUCAAUUAUGUUUGCUUAAGAAAUAAAAUUUCGUUAUGAAAAUUGUAGCAGUAUUUCCGAGCACCUCACAUUUUCAAUGAUUUUUCAUAAAUCAAUUAAUCUGCCAUACCAAUAUCAGGUUUAGUUUUUCAGACUAAAUGAUCAAGAAAGCAAACAUACAAAUUCACAUUUUAGAGGGGUAAACUAGCUUUUAGAUUUUAGAACUAGGCUAGCUACCUCACCAAAUUCCAAUCUGUACAGUGAACUACAAGAUUAAGAAAAUAAUGUAUUUAUAGUUUAAUUGAAUCAUGAGAAAACAAUGUAGUCAUAGCUCAAUCGGACAUGAUCACGGAGAGGCAUAUUCUUUUCAAGUUAAUUUGAUCCAUUUAUAAGAAAUGAAGUGGAUUGAAGUUAAAAGUUCAAAUAACAAAUCCUUGUUCUUGAGUUUUACGACGUCGUUACUCCUUCAAGAGGCUGAUUAUGCAAGUGAAUGCGGAAACAGAAUGCAUUAUCCACGGGGAUGAUAAAUCAAAAGGCGGGAUCAUAGUCUAUGCCCGCAGAUUAACAAUUUCACUCAUAUAGAAAAUUAAUUUUUUUAUAUAUACUAAUCAACACUAGAUUGAUUAUGUUUUGUAUGUUUAUAUGCUAAUCAACAAUAAAUUAUAUUAAAUGAAGAAAUGCUUCAAAUUUUUCUAAUUUAAUUUAGAAAAUCAAUUAUUAACAUUAAUAUUCCUAAUAAAAAUUAUUUUCCAUCGGUAUUCAAAAUUUUCACUUAUAGAAAAUGUGUUUUACGUGAAUACAAGUUAUUGUGUAAAUUUGAAUGAUAGCGAAAAAUAAUUUUUUUAAUUAUUGUAAAAAUAAUUAACCAUAACAAAUCCCUUGUGUAAAUAAUAAUCAUUAUUUAAAAGGUAGAAAGAUGGUUAGUGCACAAUCAAAUUUUAAGCCCCUACCUCCUCGGCCCAAGAUUCAAACUUAGAUGAUCAGCCAAAUAAAAUUAUUUGAAAAUCAUUCAAUCAGGUUCUCGGGGAAAAAAUACAAGAUCCGUAUUUGCAUGAUAUAUAUGAAUUAAUGUAAUUUAUUUGAAUUAUCCAAAUUCAUUAGAGAUAAAACUAUAAAAGAUACCAAAAAAGUUAGAAGGAAGGGUGUGCUGGGAUAUUUUACAAACUAUAGGAAUCUGGUGAGAUUUUGAGCCAAACUGUAGGGAGUUGAAGGCAUUUGCCCAAUAUGUUUAGACGUACACUAACCGUUAUUUGAUCUUGUUGUUGGUCAUGUGAACUAAGAUGUAAAUUAAAGAAAAAGUAUAAAAUUAAAAAAAGAUAAGAUUUCUAAAAUGUGUGGAAGGUGAUUCAUGAUUCACUAAAAUUACUUGCCCCACAUAUAAAGGUAAACAUGUCUAAUUUCAUUAAAAAUAGGUGGAAAAAAUUAACUAAUAGAAAGCUACGGAAAUUAACCCCCACAAAAAUGACUUUUUAUAGAAGAAUUUAUGUUUUUUAAAAUAUGUUAUCAAAGUGUAUUUGAUCAAAUCUCAAUUGCUUAGUAUGGUUAGGAUUUUGUGAACAUAACUAAAAAGUGAAAAAUAUGAAUGAUAGGGGUGAUGCUUGCAAUAUGAAUAAAUAAUGGACUGAUUCAAUUGAUGAUUAAAUUUAUAUAUUAUUGAUUAUUUAUGAAUUUUCAGACUUGUUAUGAUGUAUAACUAUGUGAUUUUGAAACUUGAAACCGUGGCAAACAUUGAAAGGAAUUAUAACUUGAAAUCAUGACUCACGGGGUAUGUCAUGAUUCACGUGCACAAAAAAGGUAGAAUUGUGGAAAUUUACAACCCAACGACAAGUACGGAAAGAAAGGAAGAAAAUUAAAAGACUUCGGGCCUAGCCUGCGUGUAUUAAUUAUUAGAUUACUUUUUUUUAUAAGGGUAAUCAUCAAUUUACUCCAUAACAAUCUUUAAUUCAUUUCUUAAAAAUAUCAAAACUUUAAUUUAUCUUUUAAACAUCGUUACCUCUCUAUUGGUUUUAACAGUUCAAAGGGUAAAAUUAUAUUUGCAUAUUUUCUUGACCGCCAACUAAAUGAUAAAACUCAAAAUUCAAUCUUGUUAUCUUGUUUCAAUCCUCUAUCAAUCAAAUAAGAUUUCUAAAAUAUGUGGAAGAUAUUGCAUGAUUUCCUCAACCUACCUGGCCCGAACAUCAAGGUAAAUAUCUCUAAAAUAGUUGAUUAAAUCUCAGUUGCUAAGUAUAGUUAGGAUUGUGUGAACAUCACUGAAAACUAUGAUUGAUAGAAGUGAUCUUUGCAAUAUGAAUAAAUAAUUAACUGAAUCAAUUGAUUUAUAUAUUAAAGUUUAUGAAUUUUCGGGCUUGUUGCGAUAUAAUAAUAGCAUAUGAUUUUGAAACUUGAAACAGUGGUAAAUAUUGAAAGGAAUUAAUUUGAAAGCAUGAUCCGUGGGGAAUGUGAUGAAUCGUGUUUACAAAAAAGGUAGAAUUGUGGAAAUUUAUAACAGAACGAUAAAUAUGGUAAAAAGGAAGAAAAUUGAAAGACUUGGGGCCUGGCCUGGGUGUAUUUUCUAACUAUCCAAUGGACAAAAUUAUAUUUCUAUACUUUCUCUUACCUAAGUUUCAUAGAAUAGCUCAUUUCAUUUUUAUUUUUUAAAUAAUAGCCCAAAAUAUCAUUAUGUUAACUCAUUAUUAGUUGAAUGGCGUUUGUUAGUAAUUCAUUAAGGGUAAAAAAUGAUUUUCUAUCAAAGAGAAAAUUAGAAAAAUAAAUAAAAAUUGAUAUAUAACUAAAAAUUAUUUUAUCUAAUCCCACUAAAUAAGAAAUGCCAAAAAAGAUGAAAAAAUUAUAUUUCAAGCAAUUCUUUUUUCACUUAUUUCUAUUUUGGCAACAUGAAAGCCCUAUAAACCCUAGAUCUAAGUACCAAAAAUAUCACAAUUUUCUUAUUCAUAUAAGUAUACUCUCUAAUUGCAUUGUAAAAUGGCUUGAAUUGAAUUGAAGAUAAAGAAGAUAUUCAGCACAUGCAAGCACAUAAAAAUUGGUGGCAUUUUUGAGUUUUUCUUCCAAUGAUUUAAAGAUAUUGUUUUAAUUACAGUUUGUUCCUUAUGACAAUUAUUCAAUGGCGAUAUCAAACUAUAUCAUCGUUGAUUUCAUUUAAGAAAAAAGUUAAUGAAUUUUGCAUACUUUGUAGUGUUAUUUAAUUGUGUAAAAAAAUUAUUUUAAUAUAGUUUGUAUCGCUUUAAUGAAAAAUCCUAUUUUGCCCUCAAUGAAUUACUGGUUAACGAUUUUACACUAAUGGUGAGUUAAUGGAAAGAUAUUUUAGGCUAUUGUUUGAAAAGUAGGGAUAAAAUGAGCUAUUGCAUUAAACUCUAAGGAUGAAAAAUGAUUUUUCCCUUUUAUUAUCAAUCAACUAUCUGAUAAAAGUCAAAACUCAUAUUUUUUUUUCCCUUGUUUCAAUCCCCUCUCAAUCAAAAAAGUUUCCUUGUCUAAGCAAUGAGGAAUAUGGCUAGAAAGAUUGUUAUUAGAAAGAUUUAUCAAUAGUAAUUAGUUCACAACUGAACAGUUUUAGAUUAUUGUGAGUCAAUAUAGGUCCUGUUUAGGAUUGAAGUGUUGCAGUUUUUAAGCUACAGCUGCUGUAGAAAAAAAAACUAUAAUUAUGAAAUAAGAGUUAAUAAUAUAUAAUAAAUAUAAAUUUUAAAUAAUAAUUUUGACAAAAUUAUUAAAAAUAUAAUAGAUUUUUCAUAAUACAAAUAAAAAAAUCAUAUCAACAUAGCUUGCAAGGUACAACAGUUAGUAUGAUGUUAGUUUAUUUUUGCGUCAAUAUAAGUAGUCAAAUUGAAUAAGUUAGUGAAAUGCUGCCUCACUGUCCCAUUGAAUAUGAUUCAGCUAACAGGGCUAGAGCUUGUGGAUGCCAAUGGCACUGAACAAAGUAUUGGGUGGUAAUUUUAAGACCACGCUAUGCCCAAAACCCAAGUUAGGCGAUUACAAAUACGGGAAUCAAUGUCACUUUGCUAGGAAUGGAGAGGAUAGAUUGCUUAGUGAAAUGCAACUUUGUAGAAUGCUGAGAGAUGUGCUGAGAGAUGAGGAUAGUUGUCGAUUUCUUCAUGUAAAUGCUGAGAGAUGUGCGGAAGUUUCUACUCAGUUUAGGCUUAGUUUAAGAAUAGCCUGGUGAUAAACAUUUUGAGUGGUGGAUCUUCUGUGGAUAACAAAAGUAGGUCUAUUCAAUGGGAACGCGACAAGGGGCUGGCUAACUCGCUCAGGUUGUGCAAAUGUUAAAAGCAGAAUGCCAGUUGUAUGAAGUUAUGUCAUUUUCUUUAUAGAACUAUGAAAGCUUGGAGUCCACGAUUCAAUGGAAUCUCGGGCUGUGCCAAUGAUUGUUUCAAGUACUUUUUCUACUUUCAAUGUCCAGACUAAGACUAUUUCUAAGCAGCAAGUGCAGGAUAUAAAGUGCAAAUCAAAAUAGACAGAAGUGAAGAGGAAGAUACGUGGUAUAUAUGUUGAUUGGAUUGAAGAUAUACCACUUUUGCCUAGUUCUUAGAACAAAGCAGAAAGCUGUAGUUAAAAAUAUACCUUCUGCUAAAGAUAAGUAGUCAAUAGUUCUAUUAGUGCAUAACUUUGCGAUUAAGGAUGAUCGCUGUCUAUUUUAAGAGCUUUUAAUAGAAUUUAGUAGCCCUGAUUUUCAAUCUCAGUGUUUUGCGGCUGUUAUCGACAUCCCUCUGUUACAUUUUUCAAGUUUCAUUGAUAAAUUAGUAGUUAGCCUUAUGAAGAAUGCACACACCAUAACCAUGUACGUUAAAUAGCAAACCUGCAUUUUAUUGAACUGUGAACUACUGAUUCAAUAAAGCUCAACAUAAGCUAACAAGUCUUUGUGAAAUUGCUUCAUGGUACAUUGUUUGAAGUAUUUAAGCUAAUAUAUGAUUAUUAAUGGGCUCGUGAGCCAACCCCAUUAAUUAUAUGUACAUAUAUAUAAUGUUACCAUCAAUAUGAUAUGUGACAUCCCAUAACAGCUAAUUAUAGAUCUUUAUCCAUUUUCAUAAUUUGCCUUCUGGCUUCCACUGCUCGUCACUAAAUUCAAAAUCCAUUGCACCUCAAAACAACAUGAGAAAUCUUAUAGGCAAAUCAUGACCAGUUCAAAGAUAAUAGCGAUUAUAGGGAAAGAAAAUUAAAAUCGAAGACGCAUAUAAAAUAAUCAAGCUACUGAUGAACAAAAUAACAUGAAAGUGUAAGUAUUUAUACUAACCUUCACUUAUUAGGAAGUUUGUUUCGCUAUUGGGUAAGAUCAAGCUCUCUGCAUAUCCUAUUGGCAAAAGGAAAUCACGCACGUGUGAUCUCUCUCUCUCUCUCUACACACGCACACAUAUACACACGCAUAUACAUAUACAUGCAUGGUCAUCAUCUUAGAAACCGAUUGAGAAAUUAUUGUCAGAGUUUGAAUUUGCGCAAUGACUAGUCAUGUUGCUAAAAAGAAAAAAGAUUGAGAUUGAAAGAAAUUCAUUAUCAUCAAAUUGGUCCAAUAUCCACUUCACUGUGUGGAUCAAAUACGUUUUCGAAUAGUGCACUGAUCUACAAUCUACUGCAAUAAUUUGUUAGGACCCUACAUCAACAAAUUAUGGGAUUAGUUGGUUUAUUAACCCUAAUACAUCCGGACAAGUCAAUCCUUUCAUGAGAAACAAAAUGAAUUUUGCAUCCCAUGAAACACAACAUACUCAGCUAGUUGAAAUUGUGGAUAUACGGGGGUAACGUAAGCAUGCUUUCACAAUUUGAAAGAUUUAUUUUUUAAGAUUUAGUAUUUCUGGGAUCCUAUUGAGAUAGAGGGGUGGUGAAGGUCUAUAGAUUUUAACUUGACAGCUUCCUAUAACCAAAGAUACAUAACUAUACUAAAUGAGCAUCAUUGAAUUUCAAAGUUAUUCAUUAUAAAUACUUAAAGAAAGAAAAAUAGAUAUUUUGGUAAUAGUAAUACAUUAUACCUUUUCUCUUUUCCAAAUUUGCUUAACCUUACUACAAGGCAAGCUGAGUCCAAUCAGGUUCUCCAAUUCAAAAUCUGAUGUCAGUAUUUUCAAAAGAUAUUUAUGCCAAUGGAGAUUUCUCAAUUCUAUAGGAAGGCAUUUUUUUUUUUUGAAACUGAUUAAGCAUCAGUUGGUUACUGUAUUACACAGAGAUAUAUACAACUGCUAUGACAGCAGGUCAUUACACUGAUAUUUACAAUCAGAUAUAUACAUGUGACUUAUAUUAUUACAUUUUUAUUCUAUGAAGUACAUGCCCAUCCAAAUACCCCUCACAGAGGAGGGAUGUCUCUACUCCACUCCCAUUGCGCAAGGGAGAAAGACGUUGUAAGAAGUCUCCAUACAAUUAUAUUUAAUUGAGGGAGGUUGAGUCCGUGGGGACUCGAACCAUUGCCCUCAUAGUCAUGCUUAACUUUGAGGGCAAUGAUUCACCACUGGGCUACAAGCCCAAGUGGCUAUAGGAAGGCAUUCUAAACCUCAGUGAAGUUACACCCUGGAGCUUAUAAUUAGAACACCAUCAUACUCGGAUAUAUAAAAUUUCAGCAAUCUAAAAUUUGACAUUGUUUUAAAUGCUCCAGAAUCUAAACGUAUGUCUCUUAUCCUGGAGAAUUCAAGAAUAUACUUUCGGUUGCAUGUGUCCCUUCAGAAAAGAAGCAAAUAAUGAGUUCGCAUAAAUUUUCUCAGGAAAAAAAUCCUAAAAUUUAUAAAGAGCUCCUUAAAUGAAGACAAAACCUGCACUCGCUCAACUCUUUUUUUUUUUUUUUAUGUUGUUCUAGUCUUCUUCAAUCCCCCCCUCUAAAACUUUAAUCCAAGCGUUAAGUGUAAGUAAACUAAAAUAUGAUUUUCGUAUGCAAGUACAACACAACAUACCCAUAAAAAUGAAGAGCGGAAGUUAGAAUCAAACCUCCAGCAAUUGAUAUUUUGCAAACUGAUAUUUGAUUCUUCUGAGACUUAUGUAAUCGUUUUGAUGGUGCAGUUUUUGAAUUAGAUUACAUAGCCUCAGGUACUAAUACCAUUUUCACCAUUUUGUUUUUAUUUCAUCUUUCCAUCAAAGAUGAAGGGGUGGGAAAUUAUCAAAGCAGCUGUUAGAUGACACCUGCUUCUAGACCUGCAAGUAAAACCAAAGAAUGAGCUCCAUUAGAUACAUUUGAGUUAAUAAAAUCCCUUGUUCCUCCUAAUGAUUAUAGACAUUAAUUAGGAGGGAGAAAUGAAGUAAAUUAAAUUAAAUGAAGGACCUUCAUUCUCCACGCAUGCAGCCGGCUAUUUUGUUACCAAGUUGUUGAAAGGAAGUAAAUAGAGAAGCAUUCAGAUACCACUCUCCCAGAUCGAUAUUCCUAGUAAGACCAAGGUGUAGUUGUACCACUCGGCCUGUGGAGUUGCUGCAGUCAACCCUUUCCCUUUGUUCAUCUACCCAGUUUUGAAGUCUAUAAGGGGAAUUGAAGAAAUGUUUAAGCCACAAAAGAUCAAAUUCCUCAUGCUCCAAACAUCCCUCACUCCACCCCCCCCACCCCCCGGCGCCCUCUUCUAAUAUUAUUAAUACGAGAACUAACAUUGUCACCAUUUUGAAUUUUGAACCACCCAUUCUAGCUAUAUCUCUAACUAUUAAAAAACACACAUUCUCUCUUUCUCUAUAACUAUAAAUAACAAAAGGGCUCUAUGUUAUUUAUAACAAACACAUCUAACAAUUUAUACACUCAGGCCCCAGCUAGCUUUCAGUUGUCUUCUUUGGUAGUCUUCAGCCUUCUCAAAGACUUUCGUCAUGCCUUACUUUCAGCCUUCCUUUCCAUAUUUGUCAUUUUGCUUUAAUUUUCCACAAUUCUACCUUGGAUGGUAAUAUUUAAUUCGCCACGAAUUGAGUGAAACGCUGGUCCGUUACCCAUCCCACUUCAAUAUUAACAAUAUUAAUAAUAAUAAAUAAAUUCUUCAAGCAAUUGAGAUUUGACACCCACCCCACUUCAAUAUUAAUAUUAAUGGGAAAUCAUAAAUUCUUCUACAAAUGAGUCAUUAUUUUAAAAUUGUUAUAAGCUUAUUUAUUUAAAAAAAAAAAAACGAGAAGGGGAACUUGUUAUCUUAAAAUUAAAAGAUUCUGGUGUGGCUACCCGAAUCCGCACGUUUUUUAAGAUUUUUUUUCCAAUCUUGUGUACCGUUCAACACCUAUAUAUGCUUUGCAAUUGAUUAGUUAACAAAAUAAAAUUCUUGAUCAGUUGUGCGGUAAAAAUAAUAUUAUUUUACAAAGCUUUACCUGGUGCAGUCAAUACGGCUAGAAAUUAAAGGAUCCCCAGCAUGAUAAUUAAGGAAUAAUUAUUAUUCUAGAUUUGUGCAGUGGCGAAGCUAAUAGCAUUUUUCGUUUUCGAGUGAGCUGAACUUUUUCCCCCCCCUAAUUCAAUACAUUUUUAUCGUACAAUAUAAUUUUGUAAAUAAGAAAUUAUAGAUGCACCUAAUAAUGCGCGACAAAAUAAGCUUUACCUCUCAAAAUAUUUGUUCUAAACAUUAUUUAAAAUAAUUUAGACACAUAUUUAUUCACAAAAUGAUGAACAGACAAGAAUUUGAUGAUAAUUGAAGAGGCAGCAUAACUAAUUAAUAUAAAAAUUUUUAUAUAGGUUUCAAUAAAGGAAAUUUUGUAACUAAAUAAUUUUUUUUCUGAGAAGCCCGGCCUUGCCCUCUCCAAAAUUCGCCACUGAAUUUGUGGGGUGGUUACUGGAGUUCACACGUUUUCAAAUUUUUUUUUCCCGAUCAUUCAAUAGUAAUUUUGCUUUUUAGUUUAUUAUUAUUGUUGUUAUUAUUAUUAACUCAGGCAUUUAUUAAAGCUCGAACACAUAAUCUAAACUUUGAUAUAUUUUUUGCUGAGAGGAGUCAAAAUUUGGGAAUUAUAUGCGCAUCAUAACAUAAUAAACAACCGCAAAGUAUCCUACGGAAACUUUCAGUGCACUCUGACAGCAGCUUUUGGUAGUCAAAUAGUCUUGGAAUCAUUUUUUAGCGCAUAUUCUUUUCGGUAAUGUGAUGAAUUCAUAUCUAAAGAAUCAAAACUAUGAUGUGAAUUUGCUGCAAAAACUGAUCCAAGACUAUUCAUUCAUUAUUAAACAUAUGAUAUCGUCCGUAAGACUGGAGAAAUAUGAAUGAAUUUGUUGAUGAUAACUCAGAAGACGGUUAACGGUUAAAUAUGCUAUGUUGAAAUGCACUGUACAGUCAAUUAAUUUAGUUAGGACUCUGUUUCUAGAAAACAGAGUAUAAAAGAUGACUAACUGUUUUGGGAGAUGCUUUUGGAGGGACUUCUAGAUGAAAUUGAGAGAGAGAGAGUGUGAGAGAAACUCUGUAAAGUCUUCUCCAAUUGGUAACCCCUUUUGUUGCGAAUAAUAAAGCUUCAAGGCUGUUCAUUUAUUUGUACAUAAGCAGGGGGAAAGCCUAUGUAUAGACAGCUUCAAAUGAGGAAACUGCACCUAACUACGCAGCAGCUGUAAUGAAGAAGACAUUGAUGCAUUAGCUUCCUGUUCCGUCUUCUUGGUCUUCGGGGAGGUUGGUAGCAGCAACUUUAAUUGUUCAAAGCAAACACUUAUCUUUCGUUUCUCAUAAAACCUCGUGAGGUAAUGCUUUAGAUGACUGGUAUGCAAUAUUGUCAAUGACAAAAUGUAAUGUUGUAUUCUGCUGAUCAACAUGUAAAAACUACAUAUUACUUGAAUUAGUUUUUUUUUUUUUUAAUUUACUAAAUUUCAGAAUUUGUUAACGAUGUUUGUACUUGGUUUUAACUCGAUUAAAGCUCAUGAAACUUAAUUGAUUAAUUAAUCAUUUAGUUAAAUUUAUUCGCUUUCAUGCUAUGGAUCUUUGCUAUAAUAACAAAUGCUUAAUUAUAUGCGUAUGUGUGAUAUAAUAGCUGCGUCUUACAUAGCAUAACACUACACCAAAUAUGCCCCCCUCAGAUACUAAUUAAUUACACAAAUGUACUUUUAUUCAAUUUAUUAUUUAAAAUAAUAUUUGAAAAAAAAUGGACUUGAGCAGAGCAAAGUAGAGAUAAUAAACAAGGGUAGAUUAUGCAUGCGUCAAAAGAUUUUAAAAAAGAAAAAGAGAAAAUAUACGGAAAACAAGAAAAUUGCGGGGAGCCACUCUUGUCUUUUACUUUGGACUUGAAGUCGUUCCAGGUGGAUAAUGUUUUCCUUUUAAAUAUUUAGAAUUAUAUUGUGGCGCUAUUUAAAAUAAGUUAUAAUUUUCUUAAAAUCAGACUAUGAUUACGGUACUCCAUGGUCAGAGUGUCGUUGAAUAAUGCUGAGUCUAUUGAGUCCUUUUCAAAUCGAAACCAGAACUAAAGAAAAAUCCAGAACUGAAACAAGGGCACGAACCAGCAAGAUUUGAAGGAAAAAUUUACUUCGUUAGUGAUCAACAACUAAUCAAACGUAAGUGGAUUUACAGAAGACUUUGUACAGAUCACAAUGAAACAGAUUCUAUGCAAAUUGACGAACAACUGAAGAAGAAAAAGGAUCGUACAACAGGCACUGCUCAUAAGCUUCUAUUUAUACUGAUGUUUCUGGAAACGUUGUAACAGAUUAUAACUAAUUCGUGCCACGUCAGCAUAAAAUAUCUACUAGACCCAUUUAACUGAAGUCAAUCUGCACAACGACUCUGAACCUCUUCAUAUUUUCCAUUUCAGUCCACAGACUCAACUACACACGUCUCCAAAAAUAAUAAGUUUUAUUUAUUUAUUUUUAUUAAUAAAAUAAAUUUUUAUUAACUUUCGUUGAUUUUGGUAGAUUUUGUUUUUGAGCUGUUACUACACUGUCGGCUGGUGUGUCAUCAUACGUAGUAGCGUCAUCAACCCUCUCAUGACUUUGACGGCCGAAACAUGUUUCAUGGCACAAAUAAUGACAGAUUUGUUUGAGGUACGGCGGAGAUGCCUAUUCAAAUAUUUGAAGCCAGCCCCUCCUUGUUUAACAUUUUUUUUUUUAAAAGGGGAACAACUGCUUUAGCUGUAUAUAUCAAGAAAAUUAGCUAACAGUUUAUGCACUUAAUUAUUUAUUUUGCCACACAUUUGUAAGUGGUCAAUGCUGCCGUAAAAUUAUUAGACCCAAAAUAAAGUGUGAUGAGGGACAGGAAUUAAUGUUCCCAUUAGCUGUAGCACCUAUCUUCCAUCUCUAAUUUUAACUUUCGAUUGAUGAAGUGUUUUCAAAUUUGUCAAAUGUCUGUAAACUGUUUAAUAAUUGAAGAAAGUUAAAAUUCAUUUUCUAAAAAUUAUUUUCAUUCAAAAUUGCGAUUGGAUGGUAAUCAGGGUUAAUAUCAGAGCUUAAGAUACUAUAACCGUGAGAACCUAUUGACUGCCAAUUAAAAUAUCCAUUAAAAUGUCUAGGGAGUUAUGAAGGUGGGGGUAACUUCCAAUUUCUAAGGCCACAGAGUAGACAUCAUCCAGGAUCCUAGGAAAGUCCAGUUAACCUCCUGCUCGAUGCAAUUAAUAAAUUUGGUCAAUGCCACUGAAACCUGCUAACUGACGUCACAAUGCGACAUGAGCACUUCAAAAUGGGACGGACAGUCAGUAGCACUGAAUUUUUCUUGCCUAAGAUUGAGCAAUUGGUCUAACUACUAAUCCCUAUUGUAGGUUGAUCAUUAUUUUUUCAAUUAUGUUCAGUUUGACCCAAAAAGUUGCAGAAUCUUGAGCUGAAUAUUGUCACGGAACACUGUCAAUGUCGCUUAGCAUAGCCAACAAACUUGAUGUUAAAACAAACACACAGUGUGUCUCAUGUCUCACAAAUCAAAUUAUCAUCUGUAAUGAUGGAGAAUUUUUCCAAUGUAUGAAGUAUGCUUUGAUACGUGGGUUACCUUGGAGAAGAUAUCUCAAAAUAAAGAAUAUGGGGAGAAAACAGUUCAGUAGUUUAUUAUUCUGUAGUCAAGUUUUGUCUCGAAAAUGGUCAAAAUUUAAAUGAUUAAGGACAGGGGAUCUUCAUUCUUUUUCCCCUUUUUUAUACCAAGAUAUCUCUCAACCUUUAUAUAAUCCCCACUGGAUAUCUGCUUCUCAUAAUUAAAAUAAAAAUUUCACCGCUCUAACAAUAAAAAGUAACAUCUUUAGUCAAAUAAUUUUGCGGUUCCUCAUCAUCUUAGUGUGAGACUAUCAGUACUUCCAAAAACAUAAUAAAACUGGUUUGAUCCUGUUUAUUAAUGUUUAAAUGUUGUUCAUUGUGACAUGUAGAAAUGAUGAGGCGAAGUUUAUUUGGGCAUCAAUUAGUAAGAUCUUGUUCGAAGUUGUUUUCUGAAAUGAACUGCCAAAUGGUAGUUUUUUGGGGGCAUUUGAUGGCUCUUUUUUUUUCCUCAUUUUCAACAUGUGCCUGCUUGGAACAGGAAGGAUUAGGCUUUAGAGUUGUUAUUUAUUUUGAGAUGCUCUGGUCAUUGCACAAUUUGUUCACACUGGAAAUUAGAAUGAGAAAUUUGUUGAUGCUGUUUUGAGAGAUCUGCAUUCUAUGCACAAUAACAUGAUUAAUGAAAAUGUAUUGUAGGACUGGAAAGAUCUGUGGCAGCCUGAGCUCGCAGGAAGAAUUUCAAUGGUUAAUUCUCCCCGAGAGGUUAUUGGUUCAGUUUUGAAGUAUAGGGGAGCAUCAUACAAUUCAAACGAUAUUGAUUCGCAAGUUGCUGGUGGGAAGAUUGCUGUUCAGCAGAAUCUGGCAUUACUGGCAAACCAGGUACUCUUACAGAAAUGAUAUCUGGUCAUUGCAUGUUAUUGCCUGACAACUGAUUUUGUUUGUAAAAGUCUACUUCUUCAUACAUAUGAAUGCAUAUGUUAGUGUUUUCUUCUCGUUUUCAUACAUAUAAAUGCAUAUGUUAGUGUUGUCUUUUCCUUUUCAUACAUAUUACUACAUAUGUUGGUGUUCUCUCCUGAGAUGGAUGCAAUAAAGGCUUUUGCUCCUAAAUUUAGCUGAAGAAAUGGCAAGGGAUGUGAGAUUCUGUCUCAUUAAAUUAACAAAAACCCAAAGCAAUGAAAAUCCAUAAUAAUGUGGUGUGGGUAAAUUGGCUCCAUUUGGUUCGUUUCCUUAAUGUGAAUGCGCGAGCAAUAGAGACUAACAAAAUGAAGUGACAACAAGAAGUCAGUGUCCUUUGAUGGAUGCAUUUUUAGGCAGAAAUAGGUUUGUAAUUGACCAAAUUUGUCUGGCAUGCCAAUUUCAAAAAAAUUAAAUUAUGUGGUUAUUAGCUGUAAUGAAGGGGGAUAGUAGGUGCAAUCAGGUGGAUCCUGGAAAGUUCAAUAAAGUUUUGGUAUGGCGUAGUGAAAUUGGUUUGUGCAACUCAGGAGUCUUUCAGGUGAACGAUGAUAGGUUUUGAUUUAUGAAUAUUAUAAAUCUACUGUGCAUAGUAUUCUAGUAGAAUCAUCUAUAAGUUCUAGUUAUUGAAAUUGUAUACUUUGCCCGGUUUGAGUUAAGGGCACAUGUAAUAUGAAAGAUAGUUGUCGCAUCUUUUAGGUUACCUAACAUUUGAUCAAUCCUAUUAUGGGGGCUUCAAGAUGUCUAACAAUAUGUAGAAUGCCCAUGCUCCUCCCCAUUGUUUAUCUUCUACAAUAAUUUGUUUUAGAUGCUAAUAUCUUUGUCGAUACCGGUAACAAUAUUACAAUAUCUGCGUUUAUUGGGUUUUACAUAGGUUCGACUGUUUGACAGUACACACUAUCUGAAGGCAUUUGCAAUUGGAGAUGUAUGGGUUGCUGUUGGGUGGAUUAGUGAUGUUCUUCCUGCUGUCAAACAUAUGUCUAAUGUUGCUGUUGUUGUUCCCAAGUCUGGUGCUAGCUGCCUGCCAUUCUACUUCGAUAUUCACAUUGUUAUCUCCUUCAUAUUAGCGAUCAGUAAACACGAUAAUGUGACUAAUAAGUUCGUAUUCUCUUUAUAGGCAAUCCCUGCUGCCUCAAGACUUGAAACAAAACAAAUUGGAGGGCGAGUCGGAGGUCCAUCUCCGUUAAUCCAUCAAUGGAUAGAAUUCUGCUUGCAAACAGCGAGAGCAUUACCUUUCAAGCAAGAGGUAAUCCCAGGUGCAUCUCCCUCUGCCCUUGAAAGUACUCUGGUUAAGUUGCCUGAAGAACUUCUGGAGGGUAAACCAAGUCUGGAUACUAACUUAAUUGCUGGAGUACUCCCGGCUGAAAUUCUGGCCAGAUGUGAGUUUUUGGAGCCAUUAUCUGAAGCUACUUUGUCAGAUUAUGAGUGGCUGGUUGUUAAUCUGCAAAAACCUGCUCCUGUCUUGAUGAAAAGGGUGCAACAUUACUUGUCAUCAUUAAUCCAAAGCUUUCUAGCAAGAGCUACAUUGAAAAGUUAAUGGCGCUGCAUGCCAGUCAUUAUAAUGCUGUCAGGACAAUUGGGUCAGGGCAAUUAGGUCAGAGCAUAACUUCAUUAGGAAAGGGGGCUUCAGCUACGUUAAAUAUUACAGGAUGUACUGAGAUGGCUGAAGUUCUUGAGGUUUUAUGAGAAACGAAAGAUGAGUGUUUGUUUGAACAAAGUUGUUGCCAAUCUUGCAGAGUUUGAAAACAAAGAUCACGGAGCGAAUGCCACCGAUUUCUUCAUCAUUUUAGCCUCCAUAAUUGAAGUUUCCUCAUUUGAAGCUGUUUAUGCAUACGAUUUUUCCCUGCUCUAGUACAGGAAAUUGAAGAAUUAACCAGAUGUGAUAUGCUGAAAGAGGGAAGUUUUCUUCCUUGAAUGUGGCCUUUGUGAUUUGUCUUGAAGGAAUAGGAUGAUCACUGGCAAGAACCCUAUCAAGGUAGAUUUUAUGGUGUUAACAUAUUAUUCAGCAUUUUGUUACAUUAGCAAUGAUGCUUUCAUAGCAUGAAAGUGUUUAAAUUUAACUGAAUGAUCUUGAUUGAUCAAUUAUGAGUUUUAAUCGAGUAAAAACUAAAUACAAUAAUCGUAACAAANNNNNNNNNNNNNNNNNNNNNNNNNNNNNNNNNNNNNNNNNNNNNNNNNNNNNNNNNNNNNNNNNNNNNNNNNNNNNNNNNNNNNNNNNNNNNNNNNNNNUGCUACCUUUUGAUUUUAGUGCUUAAUAUUUAUUGAACUAUGAUGCAGGGAAUUUGAAAUCAAACUCGUAAUACAGAUUAUCUAAUUGCGAGUUGCUGUCCAUAGCUGCUAAUUUGUAGUGAUUAUCUAAUUGACUGAGGUGACAAUAAUUCUUUUAUUUUCAAUAGCACAAUGUGGAAUUCAAUAAUUAAAUUCUCCUGUUUAAUUUGUUUCAAGUUAAAUUAUUAAUUACUUAAACUCGGUUUUAAGUCUUUAAUUUUAUGUGUUUAUGCAGAAUUGGAUUCUUGAGCGUGUUGGACACGACCAACAAUGAAAUUGACAGUAAACAAACAUUAGAACAUGUGGACUCCGGUAAGCACCAAUGAAUUUCUAGCCCCGUUGACUCCGCCAACUAAAGUUUUGUAAAAUAAAAAAAAAUACAUAGAAUUCCACCAAAUGCAAAACGCGUAAAAUUUAAUUUUCGGCCGUGUGGACCAAAACAUAAUUUAACAAAAAAGAAAAAAAUGAUAAGAUUUUUAAAAUGUGUGGAAGGUGAUCCAUAUUUUACUGAAACGACUUGUUAAAUUUUUCAAGGAUUUAGAAUAUUUGGUCAUAAAUUACGUGCAUGUUAAUUUUUCCGCCAUUGACUAUCAUAUUCUAGACUUAAUGGUACCUUUUUUGAUGAAGGGUACUUAGUCUCUCUUCUCCUCUUAUAAAAAUUAUAUUAAUUGAUUUCUUGUUAUAGUUAAUAGUCUUCAAGAACGGAUAGAUUUAUUGUUUUCAUGACCAAAUUAUGCAUGCCUAACGUUGCAACUAUUAAUAAAAUUAAUAUUUAAUAUUUAUGUUAAAAGAUAUAAGAUUUUAUGCAUUCAUUAAUUGUUAUUAGCUAAAGGAUGAAUUAUUUUUUCCCAAUCAGUUGAUGCAUCUGCAAGAGUUUUUUUUUCUUUUAUUGACCAUAAUUAUAUUCCGGGUACAAUAAAUUGUCUUUGGUGCUUGGAAGAUAUGACAUCUCUCUGUCAACUUACUGGAAAUAUCUCCUCAUCUACUCUCAUUUAUCUAAUAUCAAUUGAAGAUCUCAUAUUUCCAAACUAUGACUUCCAAAUCUCAUUAUCAUUUGAGCAUUCAAAACUAAUCAAGUGUGGAAAUAAUCAAAUAUAUGCAAAAAUCGAGUCACAAUCUUUGGCCCCUCAAAAUUCUAAUUAUAUAACUUCUAUAUAUCUCAUACAUUUUCCAAAUUCCUCUUCCAUCAACAUCAUUAGGAGUAUGUUCAUCUCUCACACAUUAACUUGAGUGGAGAGUUUCCAAAUUGAUUGUCAGAAAACAACAAAAGAACUAGACACGCUUGAUCUGUCUAAUAAUUCUCUUUCGGUAAAAUUAAUUAAUUUUAGGGGAAUUCAGCCAACCUCUGUAAUUUUAUAGUGAUCAUUAAUUAAUUAAACAAUACAAAUAUCUAAAGUGAUUAGAUGUUUACUGACAAUACAAGUUCAUGGCUUGAAAUUUGAUCUCUAUCGAUUGGUUUUGUAGUGCUUAAUAUUUACAGAACUCCGGGAAUUUGAAAUCAAACUCGUAACUACAGAUUAUCUAAUUGUAAGUUUUUGUCCAUAGCUGCUGAUUUGUAGUGAUUAUCUAAUUGACUGAGGUGACAACAAUUGUUCUUUUAAUUUUCAAUAGCAUAAUGUGGAAUUCAAUAAUUAAAUUCUCCUUUUUAAUUUGUUUCCAAUUAAAUUAUUAAUUACUUAAACUCUAUUUUAAGUCUUUAAUUUUAUGUGUUUAUGCAGAAUUGGAUUCUUGAGCGUGUUGGACACGACCAACAAUGAAAUUGACAGUAAACAAACAUUACAACGCGUUGAGUGUCGACUCCGGUAGCUGCCCUACAAGUCUACAACUUUACAAAAAAUAAUUGAGUACACACAUUCGAUUCUCGGGACCCUUCAAUGAAUUUCUAACCCCGUUGACUCCACCGACAAAAGUUUUGGAAAAUAAAAAAAAAAUUUAUAGAAUUCCACCAAAUGCAAAACGCGUGGAAUUUAAUUUUCGGCCGUGUGGACCAAAACAUAAUUUAAUGAAAAAAAAGAAGAUAAAAUUUCUAAAAUGUGUGGAAAUUGAUCCAUAUUUUACUGAAACAACUUGUUAAAUUUUUCAAGGAUUUAGAAUAUUUGGUCAUAAAUUAUGCUCAUGUUAAUUUUUCCGCUAUUGACUAUCAUAUUCUAGACACAAUGGUACCUUUCUUGAUGAAGGGUACUUAGUCUCUCUUCUCCUCUUAUAAAAAUUAUAUUAAUUGAUUUCUUAUUAUAAUAAAUAGUCUUUAAGAACGUAUAGAUUUAUUGUUUUCGUGACCAAAUUAUGCCUGCCUAAGGUUGUGACUAUUAAUAAAAUUAAUAUUUAAUGUUUAUGUUAAAAGAUAUAAGAUUUUAUGCAUUCAUUAAUUGUUAUUAGCUAAAGGAUUAAUUAUUUUUUCAACCCAAUCUGUUGAUGCAUCUGCAAGAGUUUUUUCUUUUAUUGACCAUAAUUAUAUUCCGGGUACAAUAAAUUGUCUUUGGUGCUUGGAAAAUAUGACUUCUUACUUCAAGUUUGAUAUGUCUCUCUCCAUAAGCUUACUGGAAAUAUAUCCUCAUUUACUGUCAUUUAUCUAAUAUCAAUUGAAGAGCUCACUUUUUCAAACUAUCACUUCCAAGUCUCAUUGUCACUUGCCAUUCUUGGACCAUUCAAAACCAAACAAGUGUUGNNNNNNNNNNNNNNNNNNNNNNNNNNNNNNNNNNNNNNNNNNNNNNNNNNNNNNNNNNNNNNNNNNNNNNNNNNNNNNNNNNNNNNNNNNNNNNNNNNNNNNNNNNNNNNNNNNNNNNNNNNNNNNNNNNNNNNNNNNNNNNNNNNNNNNNNNNNNNNNNNNNNNNNNNNNNNNNNNNNNNNNNNNNNNNNNNNNNNNNNNNNNNNNNNNNNNNNNNNNNNNNNNNNNNNNNNNNNNNNNNNNNNNNNNNNNNNNNNNNNNNNNNNNNNNNNNNNNNNNNNNNNNNNNNNNNNNNNNNNNNNNNNNNNNNNNNNNNNNNNNNNNNNNNNNNNNNNNNNNNNNNNNNNNNNNNNNNNNNNNNNNNNNNNNNNNNNNNNNNNNNNNNNNNNNNNNNNNNNNNNNNNNNNNNNNNNNNNNNNNNNNNNNNNNNNNNNNNNNNNNNNNNNNNNNNNNNNNNNNNNNNNNNNNNNNNNNNNNNNNNNNNNNNNNNNNNNNNNNNNNNNNNNNNNNNNNNNNNNNNNNNNNNNNNNNNNNNNNNNNNNNNNNNNNNNNNNNNNNNNNNNNNNNNNNNNNNNNNNNNNNNNNNNNNNNNNNNNNNNNNNNNNNNNNNNNNNNNNNNNNNNNNNNNNNNNNNNNNNNNNNNNNNNNNNNNNNNNNNNNNNNNNNNNNNNNNNNNNNNNNNNNNNNNNNNNNNNNNNNNNNNNNNNNNNNNNNNNNNNNNNNNNNNNNNNNNNNNNNNNNNNNNNNNNNNNNNNNNNNNNNNNNNNNNNNNNNNNNNNNNNNNNNNNNNNNNNGUAUUUUACUUGGAAGAUAUGACAUCUCUCUGUCAACUUACUGGAAAUAUCUCCUCAUCUACUCUCUUUUAUCUAAUAUCAAUUGAAGAUCUCAUAUUUCCAAACUAUGACUUCCAAAUCUCUCAUUAUCAUUGAGCAUUCAAAACUAAUCAAGUGUGGAAAUAAUCAAAUAUAUGCAAAAAUCGAGUCACAAUCUUUGGCCCCUCAAAAUUCUAAUUAUAUAACUUCUAUAUAUCUCAUACAUUUUCCAAAUUCCUCUUCCAUCAACAUCAUUAGGAGUAUGUUCAUCUCUCACACAUUAACUUGAGUGGAGAGUUUCCAAAUUGAUUGUCAGAAAACAACAAAAGAACUAGACACGCUUGAUCUGUCUAAUAAUUCUCUUUCGGUAAAAUUAAUUAAUUUUAGGGGAAUUCAGCCAACCUCUGUAAUUUUAUAGUGAUCAUUAAUUAAUUAAACAAUACAAAUAUCUAAAGUGAUUAGAUGUUUACUGACAAUACAAGUUCAUGGCUUGAAAUUUGAUCUCUAUCGAUUGGUUUUGUAGUGCUUAAUAUUUACAGAACUCCGGGAAUUUGAAAUCAAACUCGUAACUACAGAUUAUCUAAUUGUAAGUUUUUGUCCAUAGCUGCUGAUUUGUAGUGAUUAUCUAAUUGACUGAGGUGACAACAAUUGUUCUUUUAAUUUUCAAUAGCAUAAUGUGGAAUUCAAUAAUUAAAUUCUCCUUUUUAAUUUGUUUCCAAUUAAAUUAUUAAUUACUUAAACUCUAUUUUAAGUCUUUAAUUUUAUGUGUUUAUGCAGAAUUGGAUUCUUGAGCGUGUUGGACACGACCAACAAUGAAAUUGACAGUAAACAAACAUUACAACGCGUUGAGUGUCGACUCCGGUAGCUGCCCUACAAGUCUACAACUUUACAAAAAAUAAUUGAGUACACACAUUCGAUUCUCGGGACCCUUCAAUGAAUUUCUAGCCCCGUUGACUCCACUGACAAAAGUUUUGGAAAAUAAAAAAAAAAUUCAUAGAAUUCCACCAAAUGCAAAACGCAUGGAAUUUAAUUUUCGGCCGUGUGGACCAAAACAUAAUUUAAUGAAAAAAAAAAGAUAAAUUUUCUAAAAUGUGUGGAAGGUGAUCCAUAUUUUAUUGAAACAACUUGUUAAAUUUUUUAAGGAUUUAGAAUAUUUGGUCAUAAAUUACGCUCAUGUUAAUUUUUCCGCUAUUGACUAUCAUAUUCUAGACUCACUGGUACCUUUCUUGAUGAAGGGUACUUAGUCUCUCUUCUACUCUUAUAAAAAUUAUAUUAAUUGAUUUCUUAUUAUAAUAAAUUGUCUUUAAGAACGUAUAGAUUUAUUGUUUUCGUGACCAAAUUAUGCUAGAUUAAGGUUGCGACUAUUAAUAAAAUUAAUAUUUAAUGUUUAUGUUAAAAGAUAUAAGAUUUUAUGCAUUCAUUAAUUGUUAUUAGCUAAAGGAUUAAUUAUUUUUUCAACCCAAUCAGUUGAUGCAUCUGCAAGAAUGUUUUCUUUUAUUGACCAUAAUUAUAUUCCGGGUACAAUAAAUUAUCUUUGGUGCUUGGAAAAUAUGACUUCUUACUUCAAGUUUGAUAUGUCUCUCUCCAUAAACUUACUGGAAAUAUAUCCUCAUCUAUUAUCAUUUAUCUAAUAUCAAUUGGAAGAUCGCACUUUUUCAAACUAUCACUUCCAAGUCUCAUUGUCACUUGGCCAUUCUUGGACCAUUCAGAACCAAUCAAGUGUUGAAAUAAGUCGAGAGGGGGGGCAAAAUUAGAGUCACAAUUUUUGGUCCCCCAAAUUCUAAUUAUAUAACUUCUAUAUAUUUCAUUGCCAGGUCACGAACUUGUUGGCACAUUUUCCAAAUUCCUCUUCCAUCAACUCUCACACGUUAACUUAAGUGGAAAGUUUCCAAGUUGAUUGCUAGAAAGCAACGCAAAAUCAGACACGCUUGACCUGUCCCCUAAUUCUCUUUUCUACGUUGAAAAAGAAAAAAAAAAUAUAUAUAUAUAUCUAUGUAAAAAUAAAUAAUAAACUGAAUAAAAGUACAUUUGUUUAAUUAACAUCUGAUCGUGGCAUUUUUGGUGUAAUUUCGUGCUGUGUAAGCCACAACUAAAAUCAAACAGCCCCUUAGCAUACUUCUUCCAUUUUAUCUGGUACUUUUGUGGAUCUUAUAGGGUGGGCAUGUGGACAGAAUUUAAAAGUUUUAAUAGUCUCAAAGAAUAAGAUAUGUUAAAGCUAAAGUUGUUGCACCUUCUAAUUAAAUAAAGUUGUACAAUUUCACCAACUUGGAAGAAUUGACAUUAAUGGACUGGUCCCUUCUCCAUAUAUGAAGCCUUCUUAAAAGUUAAUUUUUAUUUCAGAAAAAAAAAGUUAAAGUUACAUAUAUUAUAGUAAGAUUUUUUGAGACCAAUUCCCUUCUUGAAAUAAUAAUGGAAAAGUAUUAAUUUAAUAAUAAAAUGAAUAUGUAUUGAUUAUAUCUUGAUUUUCAUCGAUUAUAGUGAGAGUUUCUCCAAAUCAAUUCCCUUAUUCAAAUAAUAUCGAAAAAAUAGUAAUUUAAUAGUAAAAUAAACAGGUGUUGAUUAUAUAUUCUAAGUUUCAUCGAUUAUGUGAUCAAAGUGGCAUUGUUGAUUUAUUUCUUGUUCAAUGUUAAUUUUUAGGUUAUCUAAAUUUCAAGGAUUUAAAAUCUUUGAUCAUGGAUUACACGCUUGUUAAUUUUUCUGCCAUUGACUAUCAUAUUCUAGACUUAAUGAUACCUUUCUUGAUCAAGGGUAAUUACUCUCUCUUCUCCUCUUAUAAAUUCCUCUUCCAUUAACAUCACUAGGAGUAUGUUGAUCUCUUACAAAACAACAAAAGAACUAGACACACUUGAUCUGUCUAAUAAUUCUCUUUCGGUAAAAUUAAUUAAUUUUAGGGGAAUAUUCGACCAACCUCUGUAAUUUUAGAGUGAUCAUUAAUUAAUUAAACGAUACAAAUAUCUAAAGUGAUUAGAUGUUUGCUGACAAUGCAAGUUCAUGACUUGAAAUUUGAUCUCUAUCGAUUGGUUUACAAAUGGACAUACUUGUGCCUUUGUGGCGAUAAUCGAACAAGUUCCAAUGAUUAUUAUUUUUUCCAAAAACUUUUUUACAACAAAUUCAUCUCGCCAAAAAUUCUAUGUUGCUAGCUAACAAUAAUUGAGCACUUGGCCGCAUUGACUCCACGUCUCCACCUCUUUCUAAAUUCUAAGUAAAAACAUGGAAAUGUAAUUUCCACAAAAUGCCAAACGUGUGGAAUUUAAUUUUUUGCCUUGUGGAUCAAAAUACAAAUGAAAGAAACAGGAAAAAAAAAAAAGGCCCAAAGACUUCUAAAAGAUGAAGAAGUCUUUGGGCCUUUUUAUAAUGGUGGAUUUUUUAAAAGAAAAAAAUAACAACACUUUUAUGGUUGGUUUUGAUAAUCAUAUGUGCGUAUAUACUCUCUAAUUUUCAAAAUGGACACAUAAAUCUUUUUUUUU